rnacentral:lncRNA from 1 species
AUCGGUCAACAAUAUUAUUCUAGUUAUAAAAUACCAUAGGCAAUUUAGAUGAGUUUACACCAUAUAUCUAACAAUUAAUAAUAUAGUAUCGAAAUUAUAAAAUAAAAAUAUCUGCAUUUGUUUCAUUCAAAAUAAUAUAAUAUUGCUUAACUUCCAUGAAAUCUUCAAACAUCUGUAACGACAAAACCAAUGAAAUCAAUUAUUCAAUUGAUAUGUGAACAUUGGCAGCACCUAAAACAAGUGUAUAUUUUCCUUUUCCUAAACAAAAAACAUACUAGUUCAAGAUUUUGCACAGAAUCAACAAGAAGCAAUUAUUCUCAACCAGGCAGCAGCAACCAAUUUAUAACAUAAGAAACAUGCAUCCACUCGUAGUAGUAGACAUCGUGCCCGAAUAUAGCAUUCUCAUCCAAAUAAAUUCGCCAAAAUCACAAAGCAAGAUUCAAGAGAAUCAGAACAAAGCUCAAUGUCAACAUCAACUUAAUUCCCAGAAUUAAGUCAUCGCUAAUUAGGAACAAUCAACAAAAAUCCAUCCUUAAUAAAUGAUCAUGAUCAAGUUUCCUCUCAUGACCAGAGUAAUUGGAUUAUAGAAUUUGAAGCUUGUAGAUUGCUUCUUAUAGAGAAGCAGUGAACAAAGAGCAUUCCAUAAAGCCAUAAACAUUCAAUAAAUGAGAUAUCAAUAAGUUACAAAUAUUACCCCAGCUAAACAUAAAAUAAACAAUUAAUAAAAUAUUUGACAGAUGGUUCAAGACGAGAUCGUCUAACAUAAGGGGUUCAAUUUACCUACACUCCAAUUCAAAAGCAACAUAGAUUUAAUAUUCUUCUUGAACAAAAGCAAAAUGCCAUCCAUAACUCUUCAAACACUAAUGAUUAAAAAACCAGUAAGAUCAGUAAUUAAGUAUGCAAGCGAAAAAAAUCACUUGUUCACUUGCCAACAAAUCUAUCCAUAGUCUUACCUUCCACUUCUUCUUCUUCUUUCACACUUCCAUCUUCUUCAUGCUCAUUUUCGACUUUCUCUUCUGCUGCAAAUAUUUCAACAUACAAUAUCAGGAGGAAAGGACUAUGUUUCAAGUCUGUUAUGCAUAAUUUUAGUUUAAGUAAGCAGUGCACAAGAAGAAAUUCAUAAGAAAAGCUUGGGCCAAUUCUCGUAACUCAAAAGACAUAACAUUAAUGACAUAUAUAAACAUAUAUUUAAGUCAAAUCCACCUGAUUNNNNNNNNNNNNNNNNNNNNNNNNNNNNNNNNNNNNNNNNNNNNNNNNNNNNNNNNNNNNNNNNNNNNNNNNNNNNNNNNNNNNNNNNNNNNNNNNNNNNNNNNNNNNNNNNNNNNNNNNNNNNNNNNNNNNNNNNNNNNNNNNNNNNNNNNNNNNNNNNNNNNNNNNNNNNNNNNNNNNNNNNNNNNNNNNNNNNNNNNNNNNNNNNNNNNNNNNNNNNNNNNNNNNNNNNNNNNNNNNNNNNNNNNNNNNNNNNNNNNNNNNNNNNNNNNNNNNNNNNNNNNNNNNNNNNNNNNNNNNNNNNNNNNNNNNNNNNNNNNNNNNNNNNNNNNNNNNNNNNNNNNNNNNNNNNNNNNNNNNNNNNNNNNNNNNNNNNNNNNNNNNNNNNNNNNNNNNNNNNNNNNNNNNNNNNNNNNNNNNNNNNNNNNNNNNNNNNNNNNNNNNNNNNNNNNNNNNNNNNNNNNNNNNNNNNNNNNNNNNNNNNNNNNNNNNNNNNNNNNNNNNNNNNNNNNNNNNNNNNNNNNNNNNNNNNNNNNNNNNNNNNNNNNNNNNNNNNNNNNNNNNNNNNNNNNNNNNNNNNNNNNNNNNNNNNNNNNNNNNNNNNNNNNNNNNNNNNNNNNNNNNNNNNNNNNNNNNNNNNNNNNNNNNNNNNNNNNNNNNNNNNNNNNNNNNNNNNNNNNNNNNNNNNNNNNNNNNNNNNNNNNNNNNNNNNNNNNNNNNNNNNNNNNNNNNNNNNNNNNNNNNNNNNNNNNNNNNNNNNNNNNNNNNNNNNNNNNNNNNNNNNNNNNNNNNNNNNNNNNNNNNNNNNNNNNNNNNNNNNNNNNNNNNNNNNNNNNNNNNNNNNNNNNNNNNNNNNNNNNNNNNNNNNNNNNNNNNNNNNNNNNNNNNNNNNNNNNNNNNNNNNNNNNNNNNNNNNNNNNNNNNNNNNNNNNNNNNNNNNNNNNNNNNNNNNNNNNNNNNNNNNNNNNNNNNNNNNNNNNNNNNNNNNNNNNNNNNNNNNAAAGGUCUUAUAAAUCAACCUUGAUACCAGAAGAUAUCCUAUUCCAAGGAUUAUGGAUUUACUUGACAAGCUUUUUCUUUUUCAAUUUUGCAAAAUAGCUUCAUAUCUGUUUUCUUCAUGUGGGAUGUCGAAACACCAUUGCUUCUUGAAUUUAUAUACUAUACUUUCCUGAAAGUAGUGUAUGCUAUGCGAAUGCAUAUGAAUUUUAAUGCAUGCUAUGCAAAUGUUGGUCAAUUAAUUCCUGUUCAAUGUAUGGUACUCAAGUUUCUCAAGCUUUUCUUGGGCAUCAAGCCUUUUGAUUCUUCAGAGAUCCAAUUACACUACUCUUCUAAGAUCGAACCAGUGUAGCUCUCAAUUGUCUUUUCCACUCACAUUCUUCCUUGUUCAGUUUUUCAAUACUUUGGAAUAAACUUUAUCAAUCGAUCAUCACUUGACCAUCAUUCAAUGAAUUUCUCAGCACUAACAAAUUUCAAAACAAGUUUCAUCCACCAUCACUGGGUCAUUACUCAUAAGUGUCUCAGCAUUAACCAUUCCAAAACAAACUUUGUCCACUAAUUGUUCUCAUCAUUCAAUCAUAACUUGCAAGUAUAUCGACCAAUUCAUCCUUGUCCUCAUCACUUGGUUAUACCAUUUUUCAAAAUCUACCCCAUCGUAUUUUCCAUUAGUCACAUCAUAUAUCCUUCACAAUCAUCUCUUUUAGGUUUUUACCAUUUCUUCAUUUUGUUACCACCAUCAUCUUAGAUUUCUUUUCAAAUGAAUGCAAGACUCUUUUAAGCAUAUAUUCAUUCACUCAAUAUCAUUUUAAAUCUUGACUAAUGCAAUGCAAUCAUGCAUUUUCUCAAUUCAUUCCAGGGGUGUAACAAUAAGAUAACACAAGGUGAAUUAUGGUAAAGAUAAUCAAUGAAGAUCUAUUUUGGUACAAAUGGGAGAGGAAAUAAAUUGGAUUCAUGUCAUUGGGAUGGAUGGUAUGUCCAAAUGAUGAAGAUUCAGACAAUUCGUAACAUUAAUCUAGGAUUUUUUUCAAAAACUCAUUCCAUUUAUUGUUGAAGUUAUCUUGAGCUUGGUGAACUUUGCCCCAAUCUUUGAGGAAUCUUCAAAUGUCUUUGAUUUUCCCUUGAUGUGAGCCAUUGGACCUGGAUCUUUUUCUACCAAAAUCCUCUUUUCAGGCUUUCAAUUUGAAUCUCUUUUUUUAUUUUCUCAUUCUUUCGUUCUUUUUUCUUUUUUUCUUCAUCAUUUUUUUUCAUCAUCUUUUUUCUUUUUUUUUUUCUUAUUUUUCAUCCAUUGUUGAUAUCUUCUAUACAUAGCAUGAUUCCAUUACUUCAUUAUGAGCAUACCUUUGCUCAACAUAUGACCAUUCAAGUUGAGUAUUCACACUUGAUCCAAAUAGACUUUUCAAGGUUGUAACGUAGGCCAAGGUGAAGGGUCAUAAAAAAUGGAUAUAAUAGGCUCAAAACAUGUAUUAAAAAGGUUCAAAACCAAAGGAUCAUUUGAUACAACUUGGCAUUUUACCCCCACAUCAUUUCAUUAUUCUUUUCUUUCUUCACACAAAAGAUUCUCAUUACUUUACCCUAAAUCAUGUGUAGUAUUUCUUUUUUUUUCUUGAGACUUUUUUUUUAAUUUUUUCAAAAAUUAUCCUUCAGUGUAGAGGGUGAUCCUUGGUUGGGGUUCAUCCGAAAAAAAAAUCAUAAUAGGCUCAAAGGGGUAGCAAUAAAUGGUUUUUCAAAUGGUAAAAGAAAGAUGGCCAUUUUUCAUCUCAAUUGUGAAUACCUUUCUUGAACAUCAUCUAUUAAACAAAGCUCAUGAACCUGUAUAAAAGAUUACACAUCUUCAAGACAUAUCUAUUACACCUCUAGUAACAGCUUACUUUUUGCUCAAAUCAUCCUCUCAUAUUAAUGUGGAUGAGUUUUCAAAAUUAAAUCCCAGAAUUAUCGUUAUCAUUGUCUAAAUAUUCAUCAUCCAAAAUUUGAGAAUGGGAAUGUGAAGUUAUGAAAGGUAACAGGGUAUGGAAUAAUGGUCGAGUGAAAGAGAAAAUGUAAUGAAAUGCAUUAACUUGCCCUUAUUAAGAUGAUAACAAGUGAAGUCAUAUUACAAAAAGAAAUCUAACAAUUACUUGAAAAGAAAUCCUAAAAUGACAAAAGAAACCUUCAACCAUCCUUAUCUCCAUUCUUUAAAAUUGUCCCCCUAUGCGAUCAGGUGAAGAAUCUCCAUCGACAUCUUGCCCCUCAAUUUAUUGUGACUCUCCGGAUCCUUUUUGUUCUUGACUUUCACUCAGUACGCUAACAUUAGGUGUUGUUGCUUUUCCCUCAUCAAAACUUACCAUUCCAUCAUUGAUCAAUCGUUGCACCUUAUACUUUAAAGCAGUGUAAUUUUCAGUAGAAUGGCCAGUAAUUCCAUAAUGGUAAUCGCAGCGGGCUGUAGGAUCAUAUCACUUUGGAUAGGGUGGUUUAAGCGGUUUCACAUGGCUGGGGGCAAUCAAAUGGCUAUUAUAGAGUUCUCGAUAUAACUCUGUAUAAGUCAUAGGGAUUGGAUCAAAUACAAGUUUUUUUCGAGUAGUCCGUUGUUCUCGUGAACCACUUACUGGGUUAAUAGGACGAAUUUGAGUUCUUACAAGAGCUUGAAUGUUAAGGUUAUAUGUAAGAUCUUGAGGACUAAAAAUUGAUCGAUAUGGAGAUGAAUAAGGUAGUUGUGGAGCUAGCUGGUAUAGGUAGGAUGAGGCAUUAUUCACAGUAGGAUAGUAUGGAGAGUAACCUUGGGAUGGAUAGGGUUGAUAACCCCUGAAUUGUGGUCUAUCAAAGCUUACAGCUUGAACUUCAGCUUCUUUUUUUUUUUGAUGCCUUCUUGAUUUUUUCUCCUUUCAAUUUACCAUUUUUUAUGGCACUUUCAAUAAUUUUUUCAGAGAUCACCAUGUCGGUAAAAUUUUUUGUUACAUUCUCUAUCAUCUUUUCAUAAUAAGAAAACUUCAAAGUGCUGACAAAUAACACUGUAGUUUCUUUCUCAGUCAAAGGAGGUUGUAUUUGAGAAGCAACAUCCCUCCACCUCUGGACAUAUUCUUUAAAAGACUCGUUUACCUUUUUUUCCAAAUUCUGUAAAGACAAACGAUCAGGAGCCAAAUCGAUGAUAUGUCGAUAUUGAUCGAUGAAAUCAUGUGCCAUAUCGCUUCAAGAGUGAAUGUGGGUUCUGUCUAGCUGAACAUACCACCUGGCCGCUGAGCUUGUAAGGCUAUCCUGAAAGACAUGCAUCAAAAGUUUUUCAUCAUGAGCAUGAGCUACCAUUUUCUGGCAAUACAUUGUGAUGUGAGUUUUGGGGCAUUUUAUACCAUUAUAUUUUUCAAAUUUUGGUACUUUGAACUUAUGAGGAAUAACCACAUUAGGGACUAGGUAGAGCCCAGCAGCAUCAAUUGACCCAUAAAAGCUAAAUCCUUCCACAGCCCUUAGCCUUUGCUUUAGCAUGCUAAUCUUGGAACUUUCCUGUACUUCCACUUUCAUCUUUUCUUUCUCUUUCUCUUUUAAAUCAUCUAGAUCAGAAAUUGGUUCUGCUACUUUUUCAGUGAAGACAGGAUUUAUAUAGCUAUUAUACUGCCCUGGAUUGAAAGCUGAUGGCAUUCUAGGAUAUAUUGGAUAUGCGAAGUGUUGUGGCGGGACCUCUUGAGCAGACUGGGCCUGAGGUGGGCUAAAACUUGAAGGGUAUAAAGGGUCAGCCACUUCUUGUAAUGGGGGAACUUGCUGGCUUGUAUUUUUUUCAACUCCUUUUCCUUUAUUCAUGUUAUUAAAAGCUUUCAGAAUCCUGCUUAGCUCACUUUCAAUCUUCUCUUGUGCUUUUUCUAGCUUUUCAAAUCUAUGGAAACUUUUUUCCUUCAUUUGCCUUGCUCUAAAUCUUGUGUUGUAUGGAUGAGCAGGGUUUUCGCUAGAUGAAGCUAUCCUGGAACCUUGAGUACCAUACUUAUGAUUAAAAAUGUUAUGCUAUGCUUUAUGUAUGAUACUUUGAUGCAUGAAUGAAAUGUACAUUUUCUUGAAUGAAACCUAAUAUGACAUGGAUGCAAAUGAUUGUGUCAAAAUAUGAUCAUAAAAGUAAUGCAGAUGCAUACAAUCAGACAAACAACAUAGUUAGUUUCAUGGAUGAAAUGAAAGUGAUGUUGAUGCAUAAUAUUACAUAUAAUAAUGAAAAUGAUGCACAAAGUUAAACAAUCAAAAUGAUUAGAUAAACACCUUUUUUAUGUCCUAAUUUCAGGGUAUAUUUAUCAUUGGGUAGAAAUGGCUCUAUCCUAGGCUUAGGCACUCUUAAGGUUCACUAUAUGUGAUUUUAAGGUCAAAGUCUAAAGGUCCUCAAAUUGUUCCUUACAUCUUUGUCCAUCACAGACUAGUAAGGCACCCUAAUCCUUACCCAUUACAGGCUAUAAGCGAAAAAGGUUCAAUUUGAGUGGGAGUAUUUCGCUAGCCACUGCGGAGGCAUUAGACCUCACGAAAGCAAUAGGUACUUUACUCCCUCCUAGAGGGUCGAAACUCGGGUGUAGAGCUCAUGUUAUGCAUAUGCAUAUGAAUGAUAUAAUUAAUAAGGUAAAUAAACAUGCACGAAUAAUAACACAUACAUACAACAAGGUUCAAUUUUAUUAGGCUUUUAGAUAACAUAAAUUAUUUGCUGGCCUGACUCUCAAAUUCCUCAGUGGAGUCGCCAAGCUGUCAUAACGUCUAGAUCAGGAGAUCUAUCGCUAGACAUUGACUUAAGGGAGUCGCCACCAAUCUUUUUUAUUUAGGUGCGAUUGCCACCUAAAGAAUCUAUCCUUUUAGGAAACACCUAAGUUUAAGGGUCCUUAAAAGAAUAGGUUCAGGUCUGCUAACUAGAAUAGGGUUCAAGAGUUCGAUUACGUGUGAGAAAGGUUAUAGCAUCCUUACAACGCCCAUCAAAAGAUGGUAUCAGCUUAAAUUUGUGUUAUCCAAAAGCCUUAAAAUUUUACCAAGUAGUUAAUUAUUGGAAAUUAUUCUCAAUUGACUCUAAUACUUUUAGCAAAAAAUUGAGAAAAUUUCCUCACCUCAAGAGUAUGCAAGAAAAACUACUAUUUCACUUGUAGAGGCUCCGUCGUCGGAUUAAUUAAAGAAAAAUCAAAAUCAAAAUCAAAAUAGAAAGGAAGGAAAGAAUGAUUGUUUUUGUGUAGGAAAAAUUGAUACUUUCAACUUUUUCCCAAAAAUAUUUUUUGGAAAUUUAUUUUUAAGGAAAAUUGAUAGUUUUAACUUUUCCUCAAAAAUAUUUUUUUGAAACUUUGAUUUUCAAGGAAAAUUGAUACUUUCAACUUUUUCUCAAAAACCCUUUUUUUGAAAAUUUAUUUUUAAGGAAAAUUGAUGCUUUCAACUUUUCCCCAAAAAUAUUUUUUGAAAAUUUAUUUUUAAGGAAAAUUGAUACUUUCAACUUUUCUCUAAAAAUAUUUUUUGGAAAUUUUGAUUUUCAAGGAAAAUUGAUACUUUCAACUUUUCCCUAAAAAUAUUUUUUUUUGGAAAUUUUGAUUUUUAUUUAAAGAAAAAGAAUAAUAAAUAAAAUAAAUAAAAAUAAAAAAUAAAGAAAAGUAAAACAAAAAUAAAAAUAAAAUAAAGAUAAAAAGAAUAUUAAAUAAACCUAAUCUAAUAAAUAAAAAAAACAUAUAAACAAAUAAAUGAAAAAAAAAAUCUGGAGUGGCUCGGCUCGGUUCGGCUCAAGGAAGAGAAAACGGCUCGGAGAAGCGGCUUUGGAGCUCGGCUUGGCUUGGCUCGGCUUGGAGGGGGCAGACACGCGCGGGUUAGGAAGCGGAUCGACGCUCGGGUCGGGUCGGAUCUCGGUAAAUCGCGCGGAUCCUCUAGGUUACUUAAGGCCAAAACGACGUCGUUUUGAGAGGGUAUAAAAGGCACUUCUCUUUAUUUUUCGGCAGAACGUUCCUCCCCUCUCUCUCUCUCUUCUUCCUUUUUCCUCUCCCUUCUCUCUAAAAGAUCGAAGAACUCCGGUUAAAGAUUCACCGGAUUUUGGGUUUUGUCGUCGAAAUCUGAGUUUUUUCACAGGAAGUUGGCCGGAAGAUCACCAGUUUCUGGGAUUCUUCGUCGAAAACUGGGCAGGUCACUGGAAACUUCAAGGUUGACCAGAAUUUUCGUCGAAAAAUUCAAACUUCGUCGGAAAAUUCAUCGGAAUCUGGAAUUUCCAGAAAUUUCCAGAAAAAAAAUUCACCAAAAAACUUCAAAAAAUUUUUGCUAACUCCCAGAACAUUCCUAAACCUUUUCUUAGCUCUCUAUACAUCCCUAUUCUCUCAAUCAGUAGCUUUUGCUUACUGUUUUCUGUCUCUGUGUGUGUUGCAUCUGUUCCAGGAGGUCCCUUUUAUAGGGAUUGAUCAGGAACCUGAUCAAUCCCAAUUCCUCCUUGGACGGGAAUCCAAUCUUUGAAUCCAAUCUGGACUCUUCUUAUUGAAUUCCCAUUCACAAUGGAAUUCUUCAACUUUCAAUCACAGCCAUCAAAAAAAGAAAACAAAAAAUAAUAAUACUAAUCAGAUAAUCAGAAAAAAAAAUCAGAUAAAAUUAAUAGAUAAUUUAAAAAAAUAAUAAAAAAUAAAAUAAGAUAAACCCAAAAAUAUAUUACAAAACAAAAAAACAAAAAAAUAUAAUAAAAUAAUAAUAAAUAUAUAACUAUAUAAAUAAAAUAAAUAUAAAUCUAAUCUAAAUAAAUAAAUAAAGAUAUACAUAUAUUAAUACAUAAUAAUAAUAAUAAAAUACAUAAAAUAUAUAAAAUACAAAAAAAAAUAAUAUAAGAUAAAAAUUGAAUUAGACCUUACCCAUUUGGAUCAGGCCCAAUUAAUCUAAACCUGAACCUAAUUAGGUGUCUACAAUCAAAACAAAAACUAACAUAAAGGCUGUGCAUCUUGGUCUUGAAUUCACAGUCUUCACUUUUGAAUAUAGUAACCAUACAACCGAAUCAUUAAUUAUUUUAAACGAUAUAACAAUAUAAACGUUUAUUUUAUAUGUCUAUAUCUAUAUCAAUACUAAAAUAAUAUAAACAAUCUUAAUACUAUCAUGGGGUUAAGAUGUUCUCUAAAUAAAAAAUGGCGGAGAAAGUACGGCGCGGCUAGCUGGCCAGAAUUCAGAAUCUCAGUUCUCCUCCAAAAAAAAAAAAAAAUGUUUGACUACAGUGUUACGGUAUAUAUCCUAGCUUGCCAUAGGCAGCCUGAGGACUGCAUCUUUACCGAAAAAAAAUUCAGUUUCAAUUGUAUAGGCAGUACCUAAAGUAAAAUCUUGGGCUAAUUAAAACACGCACAGGUAAAUCAGAAUUUUACUUGCUUAGCUAAAAUUCAACAUGAGGUUCGAAUAUCCAUACGUCCCAAUCUUUUUAUUUAACUCACCACUUUUUUUAUUAAUUAAAAUUAUCAUAAAUUAAACUUUAAUCACUAAAAUUCAAAGUGCAGCAUUCUAUUCUAUAAAACUUAAGCCUAAAUAUGGGUAUCCAUUCAUUAAGGUCACAAAAAGGAAGCUAGCGAACUAGACAUACAAAUUAAACCUAAACAUUAUAAUCAACCAUAAAAUCAAACAACACCCAAGCAAUUCUUAAUUGCCUGGUCACUAAUUUUGGGCCAGUCACUUUAAGCCUAAAAUAGUGAUUCGUAAUCUUCGCAAGCAAGAAAAGGAGUCCGGCUUUACUGGCUUGAGGCCUUGAGCUAAUACCUAAUAGCCUAAUACCAAAUGGGAUUGUAUUUAAUUAGGAUCUAUAAUAAUAAUAAAAAAAAUUAAUACGGCUAUUAUUGAUGCACUUUUUAAUUCCUUAUAUUUUUUAUGUAAUAUAUAUGUCCAAGCUUUUAUUAGGGUUUACUAGUAUGCUACACAAAUAUUAUAUUAGUAUGGUAUUAUACAGUUUAUCUAAUCUAAUGGUUGAGUUUGAAAACUGUGCAAAUUAUGAUAUAUAUAUAUAUAUGUCUUUUUACCAAUUAAUUCUUCUGGUUUGUGAAUCUAAAGUUUGUUCAAAAGCAAUGAUCAUAUACACAUCAUGUUGUAUGGUUUAUAUAUUUAUAUAAAAAUACCAAUCGAUAAAACCAUCGCUCAUUCCACAUUUGCAAAAUAGGAAAGUUGUUACUGUUUUCGUUACAUGAUUGUUUCAUUAUCAUUCAAUAAUUUAUUUAUUAAUUAAAAGAAACCCUAUUCAAUUAAACUUACCCAUUUUAAAGAAUCAUUUAUAAUUUAAUACAUUGUUCUUUUUCAAUUAAAAAACAAUACAUUAAUUAUGCUUUUUAAUUUAAAUAUCACCAUUAACAUAUUAAUACAUUGUUCUUUUUCAAUUAAAAAACAAUACAUUAAUUAUACUUUUUAAUUUAAAUAUCAUCGUUGACAUAUGUAAAUAUAUGCUUCUUAUAUUUUUCUCACACACACAUAUAUAUUAUUUAUUGAAGUAUUUGGUAUUGUGAAAAUAUGUAAUGGAUGCAUUUCAAUUAUAAAAUUUUUAUUAUACUUUUACAAUUAUCUAAUCACAAUAAAUAAUUACGUUUAAAUUCAUCACUUAUUGUCGUAAUGGUUUUGAGGCCGUUAGACGUAAAAGAGUUUUAAAAUCAAAGUAAAUAAAAAAAGAUCGUCAUCAAUCUUUUUUAGGGUGUGAUUGGCCAUUCAAAAGUUUAUCUUUUUAACAAAAUUAUAAAAACGACUAUAAAGUUUAUCAAAAAGAUAAAUUUCAGUCUACAAAAAAUCAGGUUAGGCUCAGGAAUCGAUUACAUAUGGGAAAGGAUUAGCACCCUCACAAUGCCCAUAAAUUGGUACCAUUUAAUUAUGCGUUAUUUUCAGUGUUGAAUAAAAAUGGUUUCAAUUUGAAAUUUAACACUAAUUUCCUUCAUUUGGAAAAAGAAAAUUUUGCUAAAGCUCUUUAUUUAGGAAUAUUGAGAAAAAUCUUAAAGUUAAAUAAUUAUUUUAAAAUUCUUUAACAUCUAGGCAGAAUUUAAAAUAAUUUUUUUCGCUUAAGAUUUAAUAUGAUAAUCCUUAAAAUGAAAUAACAGUUUUUAUAGAAGAUAAUUGUUAGUGACUCUCCAAUAUCUAGGUAGAGUACCAAGAAUUAUUUCUUUCGGAAUGUUAUUUUUAUUUUAUUUUAUAAUAUCAUAAAAAAAAUUUUAAAAUGUAUUAUUCUUUUUUAUUAUAAAAUAUUUUAUCAUCAAAUAGUAAAUAAAGGCUAAAGAGAGAAUAAUGAUAACACGCUAACGUAUGUAUGCUAAUGAAUAUCAUGUAAAAAGAAAUGUAAUUUAAAAGUUGGGUUCUUAAGUAUAAUGAGACCACCCCGACUCUCCAAUAUCUAGGUAGAGCUUAGGUGCGACUGUUUAUAUUUGAGAUCCCAAUUUGCUAUUAUACUUUUUUUUAUUAAUCUUAUUAUUAAAGCGAAUUAUGAAAUCGUGUGAAAAAACUUAACGAAGUAAAGUUUCUUAAAUACCCCAUCAUCUGACGGUAUUCAGGAAUAAAUUACUGAGAUUUUCAACGUGUCCUUAAGAUUUUCAGAAAGUUUUGAGUAAAGGCUUGAGUAGAGGUUUUGAAGGUUUGGUUUUAAGGUUUAGAGGGUUUUAAGGCUUGAAUUUUAGGAUAUGAAAGGUUUAGGGUUUUGAUUUUAGAGUUUGAAGAUUUUAGGGUUUCGGUUUUAAAAUUUAAGUUUUGUGGUUUUGAUUUAAGAGUUUGGAUUUAGGGGUUUUAGAAACCUAAGAUUUUGAAAAUUAAGAAUUAGUGUUUAAGGUUUCGUUUUUAAGAAAAUACAAAUAUUUCUAAAAAUCUCUAACAUCUAGGUAAAUUUUUGAAGCAAGUUUGAUUUUAAUAAUUUUUGAAAAUUAAUUAAAAAUUUCUUAUAUAUUUAUUUUUAUGAAAAUUUGUUAAUAAUAAUUUCCUAACAUCUACACGAAAUUAUUUUUAGGAAAAUAUUUUUAUUCCCUCCAACAUCUAGGCAAGAAAAAUAAUAAAAAUUAUUAUUAUUUUUUGAGCAUUUUUUAAUAUAUAUUUUUAAUUAUUAUCUUACUUGUUUUUAUUUUUAUUAUUAUUAAAAUAAUUAAAAAAAUUAUUUUAACAAAUUUAAGAAUUUAUCAUGCAUCAAUAUAAAAAAAUACUUAAAAUAACAAAAAUAAUAAUAUAAAAAAUUUAAAAAAUUCAAAAAUUUUUUUCUUUUUACCUAAACCAGAUCGGUCAAUGGUCCGAUCAACGAUCGAUUCGGCUGGACUGAAAAAGGGUUGGUUCGGCUUGCGAUUCAGUCAAAUUGACUGAGGAGCGAUUUAGUUCGGUUUGAUUGAACCGACUCAGAGUUGUUGGAGGAACCGGUCAACGGGUCGUUGCGCGGAUCCUGAAUUAGGUCACAGGCGCACGCGAAUCCUCCCUGGUUCAGACAACGUUGUUUUAGUUCUUUGUUUUGAAACGACGUCGUUUUGGACAGCUGAGGCUAUAUAUGAACCAAGUUUUUUUUUUAGCUCAGUUUUCUUCUGUUCCCAAAAAAAUUUUCAGAGCUUUGGAAAGAGCUCAGGGAAUCCACCGGUAACUGAUUGUAGGUGUCGUGCUGUCGCGUCGAUCGUCAUCUGGGCUGCCACCGGUGGUGGUCGUCAGUGGUCGAAAAAUUUUAAACUCCUUCUGAAAGCUCUAUUUGAUGCGAUCUUUUCGGAUCUGGUUUUUUUUUCAUCGAAAACAACCUCGAUCUGUGUAGAUCAGAUUUCAAAGUUUUUUGUUCUUUUUUUUUUUUUUAAACUGAAGCUGAUGAUGAUUUUUUUUAUUUUUUGCUGAUAGCUUGGCACUAGGUUCCUUGCCUAGCGAGGACUGUGUUUUUUUUUUGUGUUUUAGUUUUUGGAGGGUGAGGGGUUUCUGGUGGGCGAGAGGUUGAUUGGGGUUAGGAAUAGCAGUGUGUCUAUGUAGGCUUUUUUGGUGGUAGCUAUUGGUUUAAAUGCUUUCAGAGAGAUCGAAAAAAAUGAGAUAUGGUGCUUUAUAGGGUUGGGAAUGGCAGGUUAAACGUGCGUCUGGCAAAGAAUGGGUGAUGGUUUUGGGCAGUUAGAGCCGAUGAGGUGCAGGGUAUGGUGAGGGGACAGGCCAGGGGUGGGUGGCCAGUGGUGCCAUGCAAGGCACCAUUGCCAUCCUAAUUUUUUAGUUCUGUUGUUGUUUUUUUUUAUUUUUAUUUUAUAUUAUUUUUUUAAUAAUUAAAAAUUAAUAAAAUUUUAAUUAAACCAAUAUUAUUAUUAAUAAACAAGAACUGAAAAUAGUAGACUUGGACAAAAUCGAUAUCUACAGCUACUCUUCUUUGCACAUUCUGAGAAUCAGGAAUAGGAUAAAGAUAAAGAAAAUGAUUUUGUUCGGAAGCAAAUCAUGAAUUUUUUUUAAAGUUUUUUUUUGAAACCACAAGUCAAGUAAUAAAAAAAAUGAUCAGGACGACACCGCAAGUCGAGAAGUAAGAAAACAAUCGGGACAACACUGCAAGUCGAAAAGUAAAAAAAUGAUCAAGAUAACAUCGCGAGUUGAGAAGUAAAUAAUCGAUCGAGAUAACACCGUAAGUCAAGAAAUUAUGUUCGAAGGUCUUAGAAAUCAUGCCCGAAGGUCUUAUAAAAUCGACUGAGACAACACUGCAAGCCAAAAUUAAUGAAUCGAUCGGGAUAACACGUGAAUCGAAAUUAUGCCCGAAAGUCUUACAGAAUCGAUCAGGAUAACACCGUAAGUCAAAAUUAAAGAAUUGAUCGGGAUAACACCAUGAAUUGAAAUCAUGCCCGGAGGUCUCACAGAAUCGACUGGGAUAACACUGCAAGUCGAGAUUAAAGAAUUGAUUGGGAUAAUAUCGCGAAUCAAAAUUAUGCCUGAAUGUCUGAGAAAUCAUGCUCGAAGGUUUUAGAAGUCAUGCCUGGAAGUCUUACAGAAUCGACCGGGAUAACACCACAAAGUCAAAAUUAGAGAAUCGAUCGGGAUAAUCCUGCAAAUCAAAAUUAUGAUCGGAGGUCUUAGAAAUCAUGAUUUUUAAAUACUCCUCUCAAUUAGAGGCAAUAGAACUUUGAAAAUUUAAAAAUUUUUGAAAAUGACUUUUCCCCAAUUAGAGUUAAUGAAUGCAAUCAAUGAUACAAAUGUCCAUCUUGAUCAAAUGAUGCUAAUGAAAAUGUUGAUAAAAAUACAAAUCUCAAUGCAAAUUCAAGAAUAUGAAUGCUUGAUGCAACUAUAUUUGACAAUAACAAUGUUCCUUUCAUGUAAAUGCUCAUACAAAUACAUUUUCUUAAGAUGCGAAUGCCAUGAUGCAAAUGCAAAUUUUCUUAUGGUGCGAAUGCAAAUAUCUUGUGCAAGUGCAAAUGCAAGUGAUGCAAAUACAAAUGUCUUUCUUGUGGUACAGAUGUAAGUGAUGCAAAUACAAAUAUCUCUUUUAUGAUGCAUAGAAGAACGAUGCAAAUUUGAAUUUCUUUUUUUUUGUAGGUCAAAUGUCUUUUUCAUGAUACAAGUAACGCAAAUGCAAGGUCUUUCAAAAGGUUUUGCAUCGAGAAUUUUUUUUAUUCUGGAUAGAACCUUGAAAGUUUAAAACUUCUUUUGGGGCCAAAUAAACUGAGCUUAAAUUUUAUUGAAGGCUAGCUAAACUGGGCUUAAAACCUCAUUUGAGGCCAGGUAAACUAAGCUUAAAACUUCAUUGAUGGUCAGAUAAACUGGGUUUAAAUGUCAUUGAUGGUCAGAUAAACUAGGCUUAAAUGUCAUUAAUGGCUAGAUAAAUUGGGCUUAAAGCUUCAUUAACGGUCAGAUAAACUGAGCUUAAAUAUCAUUGAUGGCCAAAUAAACUGGGCUUAAAAUUUUAUUAAUGACCAAAUAAACUGGGCUUAAAACUUCAUUAAUGGUCAGAUAAACUGAGCUUAAAACUUUUUUUUUGGCGAUCCCUAUCAAAAAUAAAAAAUGUGAGGAUUUUCUUUCCAAAUGGAUGUAAUAGUUUUGUAAAUAGCAAUGUUUAUUCAAAAGGCUCCAACCCUUAAAGAGAGUUGAAGAGACAUAAUUUUUCAUGCAAGCUCACAAAUAAAACAUAAGCUUUUCUACAAGCAUGAAUUCUUUGAAAAUCAAACAUAUUCAACAUUUUUCUUAGUCUUCAAAUGCGAUAUUUUGAUAUAUGUCAAGAUCAGUUGUAAGAGCUUGAGAUUUUAAAGGGUUAUUUGGGAAUAAACAAAAAUUAAGACUUUCGACAUCAACCUAUCUCAGACUUCUAUGGCUUUGAUAUUUCAGAUCUUUAAAAAAGGUUUGGCUUUACGUUUGUUUAGCAUCCACCAUACUUAGCAUCAGGAGUGACCUUUCAGGGUUGGCUCUAGACUACCAUUUCGAGGGUUUUCACUCUAGAGCCAUUUUUUUUUCUAUUUUUCUUUUUUAUUUGAUUUUUUUACGCAUCAUGCAUUUGAAAAUUCAAAUCUAAUCCAAAAGAAGAAAAGAAUUUUUUCGAAAGAGUUUAACAGUUCAAACAGGAAAUUAAGUAAUAAAAGGAAAACUCAAAAGAUUCAUGUUCAUUUUUUCAAGAGAAACUCUUUAAGUUUAAGCUUUCAUACCUAAUCCAAUAUAGAUUUUUCAAAGGUUGUAAUGUAGGUUAAGGUUUAUGGUUGCAAAAAAAAAAAGGAUAAAAAGGCCCAAAACAAGUAUUUAAGGGUAUUUGAAACUAAGGAUCAUUUUUCAUUGAAAUGAUACACUCUAAGGUAUAUUCUAUUUUAUACUUUCCACCUAUUCAUUUCUUUUUUUUUCCUUCUUUUAUUCUUCUUUUCCUUUCAUUUUUUUGCAUCCUUUUAUUGAGUGUAUUCAAAACUUUUAUGAACUUUUAUAUUGGGUUUUUAUCCCUAUCACAUGAGAUUCCAUUAGACAUUCUUAUUCUUAACCUUCAAAUGUAUUCUUUUUUUUUGCCUCCAAUGUGGAAGGUGAUCCUUAGUCAAGAUUUAUUUUGAAAGAAUUCAAUCAGGCUAAAAAAGGUAACAAGAGAUAAAUUUUUAUUUUUGUGAAGGGAUAAUGAAAGAUGGCCAUUUGUCAUUUCAAGCAUAAACACUUAAAUUGAAGAUUACUCUUUAGGAAAAUGAACUUGAAAAAAAUUUUUUAUCUCAAAAAUUUUUUGGUUUUUUUUCUUUUUUUUUAAACUUUGACUUUGUCAGUACCUUUUUUGGAUUUGCUCAAUUUUUUUUAAGUGCCUGAUAUCAUAACCAAUUUUUUUUGUUGUUUUUUUUAUACCCUAAUAGCUCACACCUAGAUUCAUUUUGCUAGUAACAUGUUUCAUGAAAGAUGCUUCAUUUUAGUAAACCACCUAUAAUGAAAGUAAUUACAAGAGAAGGGUCAUAUAAAAUGGAUGAGAAAAGGAUUAUGUGGGGUAAAUAUGUUUAAGGUAUCAAAUGAUCUAAGUUACUCCACAAAAAGAGAACAAAAGGGUUAAUCAUAACUCAAGUUACCUUAAAGGUAAUGAGAUAUUUCUUUUCUGACAAAUAUACCUCAAGACAAAUGAUCAGGUUAAUUUUGAGAUAAAAAGCUGAAAGGGUAGUGUACUUGAGUGCAUUUUACAAAACUUGGAUUUAAAAAUUUUAAAAUUGUAGCAUAAUCUUGUCAUAUCAUAUUAUCGUAUUUUAAUUCUAAAAAAAAAGAAGGUCAUAUAGACUUGAUUUUCUAAGAAUCACAUAUUUUUUAAUGGCUAUUUCAUUUGUUCAUUGCCUUAGAAAAGAAUAUUGCCAACAAUAUUAAGUGAAAAUAAGGUUCACAAAUUUGAAUUCAAGGCUAUCAAAGGGUCAUGACUAAUGAAAUGGGGUCAACUGAAUGAGCAAAUUGGCAUUUAGGUAUUUGGAAAUUUCCUAAUAAUGAUUGCCAAUUCAUCUUAGACUUAAAUUUUUUUUUUGUUAUCUUUUUUUAAAGACAUUUCUCUAGCUUCGAUACUUAACCACAUGGGGUUUUAUUCAUAUCUAACAUCUUUCCUUUUUUUUUCUUUUUUUUAAACCAACUAUAUAUAAAAACUUAUACGAAGUAAAAGGCCUCAAAUGAUAAUAUAAUCAUAAAAUACUAUGAUGCACAAUGUUUACUCAUGCAAUUCAAACCUUAGGACUUGACUAAAAAAAUUAUCAUCUUGAUCGUACUCUUGAGAUGAUAUCCAAAGUUACACAAACAAAAAUUUCUCCUUGAUGUUUUAACUUUAGCAGCACUAACUUGCAACUCUAUUACUAUCAAUCAUCAAGACCACCAACUAACUCUUUAAACUUUACAGCAUUUGUAUCGAUCAAAGCUUAAACUUUAUCCUUGAAGACAGUACAAUCUUCUAUGAAAUGCCCUUUAACUCCAUCAUGAAAUUCACAUUUAACAUUAGGAUCAUACCAUUUCGGGUACGAAAUAUUUUUUGGGUCUUGCAAGAACAACAGAGAUCAUAUGAUUCUUAAUUAGUAAAGUAAAGAGCUUAAUAUAAGGUAUUGAAAGUGAAUGAUACACUUUGGCUCUCUUUCUCUUAUAACUCUGUGAAUAACUUAAGUUUAUCCUUGGUUUUAUUCAUGGUGAAGAAAUUUGAGCACACAGAUGAAGUGGUUGAAGAUAAUCAUCGAUCAAAAAUAUUGGUUGGGGACAAUAUGGUAGCCAUUGUGAAUAAUCAUCCAUUGCAUCUUCCUGUAUCAUGGUGAGAUUUCUCUCAUUUUACCCUUUAACAAUUAUUUCUUGGGCUUGUUUUGUAAAAAUAUCUCCUCUUUUUUUUAUCACCAGUAUUUAUAAUUCUUCUCUUUCUUAUCCCAUCUUCAAUUUUAUCCAUAGCAAAUAAUAAAUUCAUAAACUCUAAUGAAGUAUUGCUGAUCAACUUAUCAUAAUAGGGAGACGAAAGGGUAUCAACAAACAGGGAAUUCAACUUUCUAUUUGUAAGAGGUGGUUGUACCUACGAUACUAUAUUUUUUCAUCUAACAACAUAUUCUUUGUAGCUCUCAUUGGGGUUUUUCUCAUAUUUUGGAGGGUUAAUCGGUCUGGAGCCAACUCCAACAUAUAUUGGUAUUGCUUCAAGAAUGCCCGUGAUAAAUUUUUCUAAGUACUAAUUUGACUAUUUUUCAGAAUAAUACCAAUUAGCUGCUGCCCCAAUCAAACUUUCUUGAAAGACAUAAAUAAGCAGCUUUUUAUCACCAGCAUACCCAACCAUUUUGUGAUAGUAUUAAGUCAAAUGUAUUUUAAGACAUCCGAUUUCAUUAUACUUUUCAAAAUCUAAGGCUUUGAAUCUUGAUGGAAUAAGGAAAUCUGGCACUAGACUAAGUUCAUUGGCGUCAACAUUCCUGUACAUAUCAUGGCCUUCAAUUACCUUUAAUUUCUCUUUCAACAGAUCAAAUUUAUCUUUUAUUAUCGUAUCUCUUGAUGGAUCUAGCACACUAUAUAAUUUUUUUGAUUCUUUAGGAUCAUCCCCAUUAGGCACAACAGUGGAGUCAUUAAGAGUGCACUUGAGAUCGAUAUUUGUCUGAAUUGAUGGCAUAUUGGCAGAAAUGUCAGUAAAAGUUAGAUGAGUAUUUGGAGGUAUUUGUGGCAUAUAAGGGUCUUGAACAUAUGUGGACUCAGACGGAUACAAUGGUGUCUCAACAAUUGUUUCCUCCCUUGCCCCAUGUGUUUUAAUAAAUCUUUUUCCUUUUGUCAACUCUACUAACAUUUGUUUUAAUUGUACCAACUGUCUGUUCAUGUUUUGUUGCAUUCCCGUAACUGUUUCACUGAUAUCUUUUUGGGCCUUUUCUACUCUAUCCAUUCGACUGAUAUCUUCAUUUUCUAUGAUUCUAGUACUGACUCGAGUGCUAUAAGUGUGCAGACUCAACUGACCUCGUUUUCUAGAAUAGUUAUCCUUGAACCUUUUAUUAAUUACCAGAAGUCAGAAAUGCACGACAUGAAUUCUAUUAUAAAAAAAAAAUUUACUUCGAAGGUUUGAUGAAAGUAUAUUUACAAUUAUCAUUCCUUGUCCUUAGCUGGCAUAAAAAGCAAUGAAUUCAAGCAAAUGAUGCAAGAUAUGCAAGUUAAAUUUUAUUAUUUUGGUGAGGAGAAACUUGAAUUCUAUCCUAUAUUCAAAAUAGGUCAUCUAAAUAUAUCCCUUUUGUCUCAAAAGUUUGGUGAAGACAUACUUGCAACCAUUAUUCUUUUUUACAUUAUUUUAGGCACGCUAAUAAAAUAAACAAAUGCAUCAAUUCAUAGAAAAUUUAGGUCAAAAGAAGUUUUCAUUCAUUUCAAAAAACAUCAAGUUUACACAUCAUGAAUCAUUCUAGGGCUAGGAUUAAAAAGUGCUAAACCUACUCUCAUUCUCCUUUGUUUCACUUAAAAAAUCUAAAAAUAGUUGACUAUGAUUGCUGGAAAGAACAACCUUUUACUUUAAAAGCUUUUUAUUCAUCAUCUCGAUCAACUUUACUGUUGCCUACAGCACUACCUGCUAUAUCAACAUGGAUCAAUGAAAGGUUCUCAUAAAUAACUGACUUCAUUUUGCUAUCAAAACUAAGAUAUCCAACUUUCAUCAAUCCUUGCACCCUAUGUUUCAAAGCUAUGCAAUUUUCUAAAGAAUGGCCAAUGAUACCAAAAUGGUAUUCACAUCGAGCAUUGGGGUCAUACCAUUCGGAGAAAAGUGGUUUAUGAGGUUCAACAGGGAUAGAGAUAAUGAAAUAGUUUUCUAGAAGUAAUGGGUAUAACUUUGUAUAAGACAUGGGUAUUGGAUUAAUAAGGGCUUUUCUUUUGGUGUUGCUAGAGUUUUUUUGCCCUAUAGUUGGUUUGCUUUGUUGAAAAGAUGAUAGCUUAGUUAGUCUUGAGGUGAAUUGAGAAACUUUGGGUCGAAGAUUGGGUUCAAAAGGUAGUGACAGGAUAGCAUACUGAAUAGGCGAUUGUGAAAUAUGAGAUGGUGGAUAUGGAUUCAGUUGUGAAAUUCUUAGUGGUUGUAUGAAAUUUAGGGGCCUAAUCCUCGGUGCUUGGAAAGGAGGUUGAAAAUGAUCGUAAAAAGGAUUUGGGUGUGAUUUUAGACUCGGGAUAGUUUGUGAAGGUUGUUUGAAGCCAGUUGGCUCAUUCUUGGAAAUCAAACUUUUGAGCUCAGUCAUUUGCAUGGCUAGUUCACCCAUUCCUCUCUUGAGUUCGCCCAAACCUUGAUCACUGUUCAAAUCACCCAAUGUUUUAACAUGCUCUGGCAGAGUGUUGGAACUAACGAGAGCCAAUUAACCUUGACUUGACGAAAAUGAAAAUGGUUUUUGAGGAGCAACUAACUUAACCAUACCAUUACUUUUAACCAUUUCUAUCAAUUAAGCAAUUUGUCAUUUCAUCUCUCGAAGCUUAAGUCAUAAUUCCUCUUGAUUCAACUUUAAGGCACUAAUCCUUUUUCAAAUUGAUCUCUCAUUUUCGUGACUCUGAUUUCCACCAAGACAACAUUUUAUUCUAGGACUUGAAUAGAAAAAUUCUAGAUUACUACCCUUAUUGAAUGAAUAUCACAAAAACAAUGACACACGAAGUAUGAAUACAUGAAUACGAUGGCUAAAGAAUGUCAUGAAAUGCAUGUAUGCCUAUGACAAUGAAUUUUUAUAUGUAUAAAUGACCCAAAUGAAAAUUUUUAUCAACCAUGAAUGUGUAUGUAAGGAAUGUUAUGUUGCAAGGAUAGUGGGAUAUAAAAUGUAAUGUUUGUUCCAUACGACCCUACCAUUCAUGAAUUUAUAUGCAUGAAUGCAAUGAUAUAUUUACAUGAAUGAUGAGAUGUAUUCCUAUGACUAAUACAACAUACUUGUAUGGAAUGCAUGAACCUAUCAAGUGCAUAUUAUAUUUUUAUAUGGAAUGCAAUGCUUAUAUUACGUUAACCUAGUGAAACUGACACUACCUUUUAUGAUGCAUAUGGGAUGGGAUACAUGUAUUACUUUAUAUGAUGUACGAAAUGCAAAAGGUGAAACAAAAUAUAAAAAAAAUUAUUUUUUAAAAGGAGAAACAAAAUAACUAGGACAUGAAAAUUGAUUUUUUGAUUGGUUAAUAAACAAAGAAUUUAAGAAAAAUCUUUAAUUUUUCUGAAAACCUUUUUUUGUUUUUUUUUUUUAGCUUGUUGGAUAAUGCUUAAAAAAAAUUACUUUAUUCUAAAAUAUUUUAUGAAAUUGUAAAAUUUGAACAAUUACCAAAUGAAUGAACUACAUGUAAAGAGAAAAUUUAUUUAUUUUUUUAGAAAAUAAUUUUUUUAUCAUCCAUUUUUGGUUAUUUCUAUAAAAAGAUCAGUAAGGCUUUACCCUAGGCUAGCUUCAUAUGGCUCACAAUAUGCUGGGUUAAGGUUUAUAUGUCUAACGAUUCCCAGGCUAUUCCUCAUAUCAUCAUCCGUUAUAAACUAAUAAGGUUCUUCGAUCUUCACCCAUUACAGGCUACUAAUGAAAAAGGUUCAAUCUGAGUAGAAGUGUUUAACUAGCAAAUACGAAGGUUAUCACCUCAUGAGAACGUAGCUACUUCACUUUCUCCUAAAAGGGAAAUAGCUCGAGUCUAGAGCUCAUGCAUGUGAGUAAAUAUGCAAAGUGUGUGCAAAGUAAUAUAUUAAUUAAAAUAACAUGAAUAAAUCAUAAACACAAAAUCAAAAUAAAGUAAUAGCUAACAAGAAAUUUAUUUUAUUUAUUAACUUGUAUGUAUAUAUUUUGAAAAAUUAAAAUAAAAAAAUUAAAUUAAAUAUCAAAUAAAACCAAUUAAAUCCAACAGUUAUUAAUAGCGCAUAAAUAAAAUUUGGCCUGACUCUUAAAGGUCCCCAGUGGAGUUGUCAAGCUUGUUGUAACUGUUUUGGGACCGUCAGAUGUAAAAGAGUUUUAAAAUCAAAGUAAAUAAAAGAGAGUCACCACCAAUCUUUUUUAGGGUGUGAUUGGCCACCCAAAAGUUUAUCUUUUUAACAAAAUUAUAAAAACGAGUAUAAAAUUUAUCAAAAAGAUAAAUUUCAAUCUACGAAAAAUCAGGUUAGGCUCGAGAGUCGGUUACACGUGGGGAAUGAUUAGUACCCCCACAAUGCCCAUAAAUUGGUACCAUUUAAUUAUGCGUUAUUUUCAGUGUUGAAUAAAAAUGGUUUCAAUUUGAAAUUUAACACUAAUUCCCUUUAUUUGAAAAAAUUAAAUUUUGCUAAAGCUCUUUAUUUAAGAAUAUUGAGAAAAAUCUUAAAGUUAAAGAAUUAUUUUAAAAUUCUCCAACAUCUAAGCAGAAUUUAAAAUAACUCUUUUCGCUUAAUAUUUAACAUGAUAAUCCUUAAAAUAAAAUAAUAAUCUUUAUAGAAAAUAAGUCUUUAUAGAAGAUAAUUGUUAGUAACUCUCUAACAUUUAGGUAGAGUACUAAGAAUUAUUUUCUUCGAAAUGUUAUUUUUAUUUUAUUUUAUAAUAUCACAAAAAAAAUUUUUAAAAUGUAUUAUUCUUUUUUAUUAUAAAAUAUUUUAUCACCAAAUAGUAAAUAAAGACUAAAGAGAGAAUAAUGAUAACAUGCUAACGUAUGUAUGUUAAUGAAUGUCAUAUAAAAAAAAUACAAUUUAAAAGUUGAGUUCUUAAGUAUAAUGAGACCACUCCGACUCUCCAACAUCUAGGCAGAGCUUAGGUGCGAUUGUUUAUAUUUAAGAUCUCAAUUUACUGUUAUACUUCUUAUUUAUUAAUCUUAUUAUUAAAGCGAAUUACGAAAUCAUGUGAAAAGACUUAACGAAGUAAAGUUUCCUAAAUAUCCCAUCAUCUAGAUGGCAUUUAGGAAUAAAUUAUUGAGAUUUUCACAAAGUCUCCUUAAAUUUUUCAAAGGUUAUGAAUAACCUUGAGUAGAGGUUUUAAAAAGUUGUUUAAGUUUAAAUAACCCUUAAAUUUUAGUUUUAAGGUUUACUUUUGUUUAAUUUGAAUAUUUAGGGUAAUUCGGUUUUAAAAAUUUUGAUUGGAUUAAGGGUUAAUUUUAAAUUGAUUUAAGAGUUUCAGGUUUGGGAUUGAAUUUUUUGUUUUGAUUUUAUUGGAUUAAGGGUUUUUUAUUUUUAGGGGUUCGAAUUUUAGGAUUUUGGAUUUUAGGGGUUUUAAAAACCUAGGAUUUUGAAAAUUAAGAAUUAGUGUUUAAGUUUUCAUUUUUAAGAAAAUACGAACAUCUCUAAAAAUCUCCAACAUCUAGUCAGAUUUUUGAAACAAGUUCGAUUUUAAUGAUUUUUGAAAAUUAAUUAAAAAUUUCUUAUAUAUUUAUUUUUAUGAAAAUUUAUUAAUAAUAAUUCUCCAACAUCCAGGCAGAAUUAUUUUUAGGAAAAUAUUUUUAUUCCCUCCAACAUCUAAGCAAGAAAAAUAAUAAAAAUUAUUAUUAUUGUUAGCAUUUUUUAAUAUAUAUUUUUAAUUAUUAUCUUACUUAUUUUUAUUUUUAUUAUUAUUAAAACAAUUAAAAAAAUUAUCUUAACAAAUUUAAGAAUUUAUCAUGCAUCAAUAUAAAAAAAAUACUUAAAAUAACAAAAAUAAUAAUAUAAAAAAUUAGAAAAUUAAAAAAAAAUAUUUUUUUACCUUAGUCGGAUCGGUCAAUGGUCCGAUCAACGAUCGAUUCAGUUGGACUGAAAAGGGGUUUGUUCAGCUUAAGGUUCAGUCCGGUUUGAUUGAAUCGACUCAGAACUGUUAGAGGAACCGGGUCAGCGAGUCAUUGUGUCACGGGUUGAGACUUAAGCUCUGAACCCGCGCGACUUUGGGACCCGGGCAUGCACUCAUCCGACGUCCCAGAUCAGCCUUCCUGCCAUGGUUCACACCUUUGUGAGGUAUUGUCUGCUCUAGCCCCUUUGGCCUUACGAUUUUGUCAUACAAAAGGUGCCUCAUAAGGAAGAGGUGGUAUGAACCCUUUUAUAUCUCAGUGACCCUCCUAUUAUGUUCGAUGUGGGAUUCAAGAUUCUUUCUUAGGUCUAUGACAUUCUCCGAGAUUCCAAGCUUAAGGUCGCACGGGUUUUGAGUCUAAGGUCGGAGCCCGUGACAAGUGGUAUCAGAGCUAGCCCUAAACCGUUCGAUCCACAUCGAGCACCUCGAGGGAGGUAGGUAGGAUGACCAGCCUCCGUGACGAGGGCGUCAUAAGGUUGGGUGAGGGAGAAUGUCACGGACCUAAGGAAGAGUCCUGAAUCUCACAUCGAACAUAAUAGGAGGAUAACUGGGGUAUAAAAGGGUUCACACCACCUCUUCCUUGUGAGGCGCCUUUUGUAGGAUAAAACCGUGAGACCAGAGGGGCCAAAGCUGACAAUACCUCACAAGGGUGUGAAUCAUAGUAAGAAGGCUGAUCUGGGAUGUCGGAUGAGUGCAUGCCCGGAUCCCAGAGCCACAUAGAUUCGGAGCUUAAGUCUCAACCCGUGACAGUUGCGUGGAUCCCGAGUUGGGUCACAGUACGCAUAGAUCCUCCCUGAUCCAGACGACGUUGUUUUGUUCUUUAUUCUGAAACGGCGUCGUUUUGGACAGCUGAAGCUAUAUAUAAACCAAGUUUUUUUUUUAGCUCAGUUUUCUUCUGUUCCCAAAAAGAAUUUUAGAGGUCUGGAGAGAGCUCGGGGAAUCCACCGGUGAUCGACCGUUGGUGUCGUGCUGUUGCAUCGAUUGUCAUCUGGGCCGUCGCUUGUGGUCAAAAAAUUUUGAAAUCCUCAUGAAAGCUCUAUUUGAAGUGAUCUUUUCGGAUCCGAUCUCUUUUUCGUUAGAAACCCCAAUCUGCGUAGAUCGGGGUUCAAAGUUUUCUAUUCUCCUUUUAAAAAAAAAAAAAAUUGAAGCUGAUAAUGAUUUUUUUAUUUUUUGCAGGUAGCUUGGCACUGGGUUCCUCGCCUAGCAAGGAUUGUGUUUUUUUUGUGUUUUGAUUUUUGGUGGGUAAGGGGUUUCUGGUGGGCGAGGUGUUGAUUGGGGUUAGGAAUAGCAGUGUGUCUGUAUGGGUUUCUUUGGUGGUGACUAUUGGUUUGAAUGCUUCCAGAGAGACUGCAAGGAAUGAGAUCUGGUACUUUAUAGGGUUGGGAUGGUGGUAGCAGGUUGAGCGUGCGCCUGGCAAGGAAUGGGUGGUGAUUCUAGGCAGUUAGAGCCGGUGAGGUGCAGGGUAUGGUAAGGGGACAGGCCAGGGGUGGGUGGCCAGUGGUGCCGUGUAAGGCACCACUGUCAUAUCAAUUUUUUGGUUCUGUUGUUGUUUUUUUUUUGUAUUUUAUAUUUUAUAUUAUUUUUUUAAUAAUUAAAAAUUAAUAAAAUUUUAAUUUUAAUUAAAUCAAUAUUAUUAUUAAUAAAUAAAAAUUGAAAAUAAUAGAUCCGAACAAAACUAGUGUCUACACUUAUAAAUGAAGAUUCUAUAUAAAUUUUUUUUAAACCCCGUAUAAUUUUAAAUUAUGAUUAAGUAAUUAUAAUAUAAAUAUUGUAAGUUAUAUGCUCAUCUAUGUGAUAUGAAUAUUAUUUUAUAGUAAAAUAUUUGUUUUAGAAAGAUAUUGAUAGAAAAAUUGCUGGAAGUUGGACUGCGUCUACGUACAGACUAGGAGAAAGGGAUAGAGAUAGUGUAGUGAGCUUGAGAGGGGCACUGAAAGAUGGACCAAUCAUACAUGGCAUUGCUGUGAAAAGGGUUAGUUGAAAAUCACGGCUCUCUAACACAUGGAAAGUCGAAUUUCGAACCAACCAUAUUGAACGUGGACAGCAUUUCCUUGUAUUAUUACUAGGCAUUUUUCACUUCGUUAGCUUUUUUUCUUUUUUUUCCAAGUCAAGUUCAUUUUUACGGGGAGUACAUGUAUGGACAUAACGUUCCCAAUACCCAUAAUUUAACCGACAUGCACCCUAAAAUGAGACAGUACAAUAGCAUACAAUUCACAAUUCAAACAGUAUCCUGACCUUGCUUAGAACUUUCCUCAAUCCCCUUCCACCAAGCCAUAAACAUUUAUUUCACAUGCAUAUGUAAAUACACAUGAAAUGAAUGAAAUUAUUCCAUGCAUGACACAGGUUACAAUCUAAUUCUUUAACUAAUUAACAAGUUUUCUUAUUAAUAUGUUCUUCAUGUACAAAAUCCAUUAUGUCUAAUGCAUAGACUGUAUCAAAAAGCCAUUAGAACAUAUUAUUUAGGCGAUUUUGGCGUACUAGAUAAAAAUAAUUUAAGUUUAAAUUUUGUUAAUUCGAAAAGAAACUUUAGCCUCUAGAUCCAAUUGAAUAUUAUGCAAUUGUUAAGAUUUGAGAAAGAAAAAUUUUGCUUACAUUGGUUUUGAAAUUAAUUAAGUUUACGUGAAAAAAAAAUAGAAAGGAUUGUAAAUAGAAAACUUGCACAGCCAGCUUGCAGCAGUAGCAUGCAAAUUUUGGUUGUGGUGGUGACCGGUGACCGGUGAGCACUGAGCACCUUCAAUUAGAUUUUGCCACACAACCUGAAUAUGGAAAGGCUUUGAGAGGUUUGAAGUUUGAACCCCCAGUGGUAUCUAAGUGCAACAAUACUUGGUCUAUAUUUAGAAGCAAGAAAUCAAUUAAUGUUGAGAGCUGGUUGAUGACCAAGUAAGACCUAAAAGUUGACAAACAAAAUGAUCCAAAAGCUUCCAUAAAUCACGGUAUUAUCAACCUGAAUUACCAUUAUACAGGGGUUGGUCGGCCUUAUCUACACUCAACGACCAUCAAGUAAUUAGAUUAUUGAAUUUGAAGCUUGUUAGAAGAAGGCAGUGAAAAAAAGCAUGGCAUAAAGCCAUAAACAUUCGUUCUAUGAGGUAUCAAUAACUAACAGAUUGAUGAAGGUAAGACUAUGGAUAGAUUUGUGGGCAAGUGAACAAGUGAUUUUUUUCGCUUGCAUACUUAAUUACUGAUUAUACUGGUUUUUUAAUUAUACAUGUUUGAAGAGUUAUUGAUGGUAUUUUGCUCUUGUUCAAGAAGAAUAUUAAAUCUAUGUUGCUUUUGAAUUGGAGUGUAGGUGAAUUGAACCCCUUAGUAGAUUUAUGUUAGAUGAUCUCGUCUUGAACUCUGUCAAAUAUUUUAUUAGUUGUUUAUUAUAUGUUUAGCUGGGGAAAUAUCUGUAAGUUAUUGAUAGCUUAUUUAUCGAAUGUUUAUGGCUUUAUGGAAUGCUCUUUGUUCACUGCUUCUCUAUAAGAAGCAAUCUACAAGCUUCAAAUUCAAUAAUCCAAUUACUCUGGUUAUGAAAGGAAACUUGAUCAUGAUCAUUUAUUAAGGAUGGCUUUUUGGUGAUUGUUCCUAAUUAGCCAUGACUUAAUUUUGGGAAUUAAGUUGGUGUUGACAUUGAGCUUUGUUCUGAUUCUCUUGAAUCUUGCUUUGUGAAUUUGGUGAAUUUAUUUGGAUGAGAAUGCUAUAUUCAGGCAUGAUGUCUAGUACUACGAGUGGAUGCAUGUUUUUUAUGUUAUAAAUUGGUUGCUGCUGCCUGGUUGAGAAUAAUUGCUUCUUGUUGAUUCUAUGCAAAAUCUUGAGCUAUUAUGUUUUUUGUUUAGGAAAAGGGAAAUAUGCUCUUGUUUUAGGUGCUGCCAGUGUUCACAUAUCAAUUGAAUAAUUAAUUUCAUUGGUUUUGUUGUUACAGAUGUUUGAAGAUUUCAUGGAGCCAUGCAUUUAGCGGAAGUUAAGCAAUAUUAUAUUAUUUUGAAUGAAACUAAUGCAGAUAUUUUUAUUUUAUAAUUUGGAUACUAUAUUAUUAAUUGUUAGAUAUACGGUGCAAAGGCGUCUAAAUUUCCUAUGGUAUUUUAUAACUAGAAUGAUAUUACUGACCGAUCAUGUCAAUUGUUUUUGCUCGUUAAUUCUGCUUCUUAUUUAUGAUUUAGCCCUGAUGAUUUUUUAGAUGUAGAAAUUUGGAUUAAUGUCUCUUCUGUGCUCAUUUUCUAAUUGCAAGCUAUAUCAAUGAAUUUGCUAAUUGUUAUUUUGGUAGUUUAUUCACCCCCAUAAAAAUACGUUUCAAAAAAUGAGUGAGGUUUCCAUCCUAACAUUCUGCUUUUGUUUUUUACCCAAAUUUGCCCACAGCUAUUCAUCAUUUUAAAUUUAUACGUCUAAAAGACUAAAACCAACUACUAUUUAUUUAAAUUAAAAAAAUAAUAUUUUUACAAAUAUUAUAUUAAAACUAAAAUUAUUGAAUUAAUUCAUUUAUUUGUUAAAUUGAAAUCUAAUAUCAAGAACAAUAAUUUAAUGUUGAAUUGAAAGAAAUUAUUAAUGAGUUGUAUUAGAAUUCGAAUGAGCAUAAAUUCGUUUAUGUUUUUAUAGAUUUGGGGUUGUAUUUUUAGCUUUGGCCCUAAGAAAGUUGAUAAAACUAUGAAAGAAAACUAUACAUACAAAUUUGGGGGGUUGAUUACGGUUUUAUGAUGUCUCCACAAAGUGGGUAAAUUUAUCGCUGUGAUUAAGGUAGUUGAAAUUCAAAUAAACCAUUUUGAUUAGAAAAACUAUAAUAUCAUCAGUGUAUUUGUAUACCUUAGUAUUGAACCUAAAACCUGAAAUUAUUGUAUAAAAGAUAAAGAAUAUAGUUUAUAUUUGAUACGUAAGAUGAAUUAUCUUAUAUUAUAUUUUAUUCGUAUUUAAGAAAAAAAAGAUAAAAUUAUAAAAAAGAUUAACCAUUCUCUUGAUAUGGGAUGAUUCAAUCAUUUCAAAGUAAAAAUAAUUAUUUUUAAUUUAUGUGAUUAAACUUAUAUAUCUUAUUAUAAUUUUAAAAAUUAUAUCAAUAAUUUAAAUUAUAUAAACUUUGAGAAAAAAUAAUUUUUAUUAAUAAAUAAAUUAUCUUAUUAUAAUCAUUAUUCAUAUCAAAUAUAAAAUAAAAUAAAAUAAUUUAAUUUAACCAUAAUUUAUAAUAUUAUUUUAUUAAUUUAUUAUAAUUUUGUGUAUUAAAUACAUCAAUAGUUUAUUACACUGAAACUCAUACAUAAGCUUUAAGUGCAAUGUGCUUCCGCGGUAAUCCUAUGAAAAAUACAUAAUAAUCCAAGCUGAUAUAUUAUAUCAAUAAUUUUUUUUCUCAAAAUUUUUUAUUUUAAAAACUCAACUUUUGGUCAAUAUUAUUUAUUUAUUUUUACUCGAACCGUUAAAAGAUGUUAAGAGCCAAGCAUUCAACGUCACCACAGUCCACACCUUGGUUAAAUGGUAUAUAAUUAUGCCAAAAACUUAGAGGUGAAUAAAAUAUUAUCUUUUAUAAUUGAGUAAUCAAAAACAAAAAUUCUCAAAUGUUCGAUAAUCAUAAAGAAAAUUUCCUCUAAAUUAUAUCAUUAACAAAUUAUUUUUAAUUAAAUUAAUAAUUAAUUAGCAUAUCCAAAUUAUUAAGAAAAAAAAAUCUACAUGUAUAUUUCUUCCCACGUCGAAUUCCAAAUUAAAUAUAUCAAUAUCAAUUUCAAACUUUAAUUAUUACUAUAUUUUCAAGAAAUGAGUCUUUAAUGUAUUUAAAUUUGUUUAAAUUUUAAUGGUUAGAGACACAAAAUUGAAAAUUUAAAAAUUAGAAAAAUAAUGUGUAUGAAAUAGGAAAGGAUUAUCAAUCUCGGUGUGACUAUUUUUGAGAGACUUUAUGCACCAUGAUUAUAUAGAUAAUUAAAAUUGUAUUUAAUACUACAUAAUGAUUGAUUUUAAGAUAUAUUUUAGGUGAAAGGAUAAAUUGUAAAUCUUGAUUUAUAAUUUCUAUCAAAUAUAUGAUUGUUCAAGUGAUUUUUUAAGAAAUAAAAACUAAUUUUCAUUAAAAAAAAAUUAAUAGAUGAAAAUUUUAAUUAUUAAUUUAUUUGAAAUCAUUUUUUAAAAAAUAGGUUUUAAUACCUAUAUAUACUUUGUCCACGAUUCUCUUUUUGUUUUGUUCAGUUCAUAAGAUAAUCUUUUAUAGGUUUGGAUAGAUAUCCGUUUCAUUCGUGAAUCGUGAUCUAACCUACCUCUUCAAUUAUCAUGGCUUCCUCUCCGCCGGUCCCCAUGGAGGAGCAACCACAAACUACGGAGGAGCGACCACCACCUGAGAAGAAACAGAAACAAGAAGACGAUUAUUUUAUGACAUAUUUUGACGAUGAGACCGAUGCGGAAGAAAGCAGCGAAUCGGAUGGUUGCGAAGGCGAGGAAUUUCGUGAGAUGACGGAUGCGGAGGAAAAAACCUUUUUAGCUGCUUUCAAAUAGAGUGGUGUAAGCCUAUUUCUGCAAAACAUAAGUUUCAUAUACAGGUAUUCUAUAUUUAUUCAUUUUUCCUUUUUGGGUUUUUGAAGGGAUUUGAUGUUCCUUCUUUUCCUGGGGUUUAUUACAACGACCUAAUUACGCCCAUGAAUAUGAGUAAAGGUGGGCCAUAAUAUCUCUUCCGUUAUUCCGUGGCAGGGAUCGGAUUUUUUUUCUAAAACUCACCUGCAUCUUAGAAUCUUGAUUUUUUUUUCUGUUUUGCUCCUUUAUCUUUUUUUUUUUUUUUUUACUCAUUUCCUGGGUUCAAUUUUGUAGAUCAUGCCGUUAGAUAUAGAAAAGGCAGAACCGAUUCUCAUUCCUAAUGGUUAUCCGGUACACGUGGAUUGGAGGAAGAAAAGGAUACUGCACUUGAGAAAUCAAGGAAAAAUGCGUAAGUUCAAAUUUGCAAUUAUUUUUUUAUUUUACAUAAUUCAAUACGUUUUUAUAUUUGCAUAUAUGAUAGUAUUUUUUUUUUAACAGAAUCUUGUUGGGCCAUGACAACAGUUUCUCUAUUAGAAUCUGUUUGGUCCCUCAAAUUUAACAAGGCUCCGUCUCUUCUAUCACCACAAAUGUUAGUAGAUUGUAUUCAAGAAAAUUCAGACGAACUUGAAGGUAGACGAGACUGCUAUAAGUAUAGUGUUGUAAAAGCACUUGAAUGGUUGAAGAAAAAUGAGGUUUAUGGGGAAAUUGAUUAUCCCUACGUGAAAAGUUGGGGAAAAUGUCUUGCUAGCUCCAUUACCGUAAGCAUCAAUGUGUUUUUGUUUUUAUUCAAAACAAAUAUAUGAAUUGUAAUAUUGUAUCAACGUUUUUUUUUAUUGUUUUUUUCAGCCAACUGUGCGUGUGAAGAUCGAGAAUUACCGUACUAUAGUUGGUGAGGAUAGGAGCCAGAUUCUCAUGAAAGUUGCACGUCGACCCGUUGCUGUCCUGAUUGAAGCAUAUCAGGAAUUUAUAUAUCUAAAAGAUGUAAGUAAUUUUAGAUUGUUUUAUAUUUUUCAAAUGCUUUUAAAUAAUUAGAUUUACAUUUUUUUUAACAUCACUACAUGAUUGUCUCUAAUUUUUCUUGUUGUUGUUUCUUACCAUGGAAGGAAAUCUAUGAAGGUCCAGAAAAGGAAACUGACGAGCCACCUCCUUUGCAUGCAAUCAUUAUUGUUGGUUAUGGUACAGAGGGACAGGGUGCGGAUGCAAAAAAUUAUUGGUUGGUUAUGAAUUCUUGGGGAUCUGAUUGGGGAGUAGAGGGAUUUGGACGGGUUUGCAGAGAUACUACGGUAGAUGAAAAGUUUUUGCUUACACGAAUCGCUUAUCCUAUAUUUGAUGAGGAGAAAAACCAGAAAUGAACCAUAUGUUUGAGACUUAAUAUCCUUUGUUAUUAGUGUUAUUGAGAUUUUAUAUUACACAUUACAGUUGCUUAGUUUGAUAUUACAAAAGAGUUAUAUGGGCUUAAUAUUUUAUAAUAUCAACUUUUUGAUCAUUUUAUUCUAGUUUUUAUUGCGAAAAUAACAAUCAUUUCAGCUGUGAAUUAAUUAAAUUUUCGUAUAAAUUCAAAACUUUCUACACCAUGAUUAUAGGUAAUUGAGAUUAUAUUUAAUAUUGUAAAUAACACUGUAUAAUUGUUGAUUUUUUGAUAAAAUUGGAAAGGAAAACAAAUUGGACAUAGUAAGAGCUUUUAUUUCAAUACUGAUAUAGAUAAUAUAUAUAUAUAUAUAUAUAUAAUAAAUUAAAAUUUGGCACAUUCAUUAUGAUAAGCAUGUUGUUCUUUUUUCUUUUUUUUUUUAAAGAAUAAUUUUAAAAAGUUAUGUAGCUAGUUUUUCUAUAUAAAAAAAGUUUCUGUAACUUCUCAAUUUUUUUUUAAAAUUUGAAAAGACAUAUUUUUUUAUUUUAUAUUUUUUUAUAUUUGAUUUUUAUGUAAAUAAGCAAGUCUAUGUCUCGCUUAUCUAACGCACGUAUAGUUUCAACUUGUUUCUUUUUUUUUACAUAUGGAUAUUAUAAUAUCAGUUUCAUUUUUGUCACGUUUAGAUUUUUUAAUUGCUAUGUCAGUUAUUUUAUAUGUCAUCAAAGUUUACUUAAUAAUAUUUAAUUUCACAUUAACUUAUAUUUUAAUUAUUCAUGAAUUUAGAAAUUUAAAAAUUUCUAUAUUCUUAAACUCAAUUAAUUAUAGAUAAAUGUGCUUUAUAUUCUGUGUCAUUUAAAAGUUUAAAUUUAAAUUCAUAUUUACUAUUAAUUAAUUAUGAAUCAAAUUUAAUUAUUUAUAAAUUUAAUUAAUUAAAAAUAAAUAUACUUAACUUUAAUACAAUUUAAAUUAAAUAUCUUUAUUAAAUAAUAUAAAUAUAUAAAAAUCAAAUCAUGCUAAUCAUUAUUUACUUCACUCAAUAACACAAAUUACAUUGCCUAUAAAUUAUUCCCUACAGAAACGCUAAAGAAUAAAAGUAAACUAUAACCGGCAGCAAUGGAUGUGAGACUAGUUUUUUUUUUGUUAGUUUCAUUACUUUUUUCCUUUCACUCACCUAAUAAGUGCGUCAAAAUCUAAUUUCUUUCAUGUCGAAAAAUCAAUGAAUUUGUUAGAGAAAACAGAAAAUACUUGCCCGACAAGAAAAAGGAAAUAAAAAUAAAAAUGAACGACACGUGAUGUGAUGACAAUGACGGUUCGAUCGUUAAGAAAAUGGUGGGACCGGGUCCAUUCCUACGCGGACGGUUAAGAUCUAAUCUCGAAAUUGUACGCACAUCAGGUGCUACUUAUUAUCCCUCCCUCAGACUCGGUUAUUUUAGGGUUAGGAUUCCGUCUCAUUCGUGAUCUAACCAACUUCUGCAAUUCUCAUGGCUUCCGUUCCACCUCUCCCCAUGGAGGAGCAACCACCAACUACGGAGGAGCGACCAUCAAGUGAGAAGAAACAGGAACAAGAACACGAUUAUUUUCUGUCUCAUUUUGACGAAGAUACCGAUGAGGAAGAAAGCAGCCAGUCCGGUACUUGCGAAGCCGAGGAAUUUCGUGAGAUGACGGAUGCGGAGCAAAAAGCCUUUUCAGCUGCUUUCAAAGAGAGUGGUGUAAGCCUAUUUCUGCAAAAUUUAAGUUUCAUAUACAUAUAUUCUAUAUUUAUUAAGUUUACCUUGUAGGGAUUUGAUGUUCCUCCUUUUCCUGGGGUUUAUUACAACGACCUAAUUACGCCCAUGAAUAUGAGUAAAGGUGGGCCGGAAUAUCUAUUCCGUUAUUCCGUGGCAGGGAUCGGCCGAUAUAAUGAAGAACAUGUUGGUUUGGUUUUUUUUUUUUUUUCUUGUUUUCUUUAUCUUUUUUCCGGUGAUAUAAUUUUGACUGAUAUUUUUAAUGUUUUCAGGGAACCAACUAUGAGGUAGUCCGAGUGGAAAAGUGCAUGCAACAGGCUGCUCGCGGUAUUAAGUACUACAUAACCUUCCAUGCCAAGAAUAAGAUUGCUUCAGAGCAUGGCAGUGAUACUCCUAAAGCUGCUGAUGAUAGUAGCGAUAAAACUGAAAUCUUUGAGGCUUUGGUCUUGUUCGGUAUUCCAAAGGACAAAAAGGAUGAACCAAUCGAUGUGAUCUUUUGUAGGCUAAAGGGUACCAGGCCAGGUACUAAUGUUUUUCAUUAAUGCAAUUACUUUUAAAAAAAAAAAAAAAAAAAAAAUCCGUACUUGGUUAUUGAUGAAUUAUCACUUUUAUAUUCUACUUGAAUAUCCGAUUGUUAGCAUACAUUACACUAGUUUAAGGGAUAUGUUUGGUGAUCCUUAUCUACAAGGAAUACUCCGUAAAUUUAAACCCAGUUGUGCACUUCAUCUGUUUUGUGAUGAACAGAUAUAUCAUUUGCAUUUACUGGCUUAAUUAUAGAUAUGUCGUGAAUAGCAACUACUUACUAUGAUGAAGGAUUUGUGAACUUUUUAACGAAUGACUUAAUUGUGAUUGCCAUAUACAGUGUGUUGUGUUUUCAUGUUGGGGAGUUUGUUGGUCUGCAGUUGAGAAUUGCUUGUGUGUUGUUUGAUAUUUUGCAUGACUGUCAUGUUUUGUUUAUUGGGUUACCUUUACUUAAGGUUUUGGAUAUCUAGUUAUCUAGGGUAAGUGCUGGCUUUUGAUGAGCUUAAUGAAUGGCUACCCAUUUUUAGCUAGAGGUUUUACCGCUGUAGAGUAGUAGUAAUAUAAAGGCAAGGUUUAGGACUUCUUUAUGAUCUUGGUGGAACGACAGAGACUAACCCUAUAUUUAGUUUUAGAUAAGGAAGUAAAAUGCAAGUUCAGGUGAGUGUGUUCUAUUGGUCAGAAAAUUUUUUAUUUUAGGGUGCUGCCCAUGUUCACAUAUAUAUACAAUCACAAUUAAUUUAAUUUAUUGGUUGUGUUGAUGUAGAUCUUUGAAAAUUUUGUGGAGGCGUUCAGCUGGUGGGUGAGAAGAGCACCAGAAGUUGAGCACGUCAUCUUGUUAAUGCUUCUUAUUUUAUAAUUUGAACCUCUAUCUAGAAUGUUUAUGUGUUAAGCGAUCUAAACUCAUCCGACGCUUUCGCUUACCGACUACAGUACUGUUGAUUAUAUAACUUUGUGCUGCUUCUAUGUUUAAUGAUUUAGCUAUGAAAACCACAUUAUCCUAAUUUCUUAUACUCAGCUUUAGGUGAGUUAGGGAACUUUUAUUCUGCUGUCACAGUGUUCAUGGCCCAUUUUCGCCCCAAAAGCUCUCGACGAGCUGUAUACGAAAUUAACAUCUAUAUAUCUAGUAGAAUGAAAUUUACGUCUGUAUUAUAUCUAGUUAUCUGUACAAUGGAUCAUAUAAGUGAGAGAACCGUUUUGCUACUGAUUCAGCGCCAGCACCAUUGGUUUAUACAAGACUUAAAGCUUUUUUCUGGUUUAAGCAUCUUCUGCAUGAAUUGCUGUUCUGUUUCCUGGACCAUAAAAUGUCCAUUGGCUGGGCCUGGGAUGAUCAAGUUGAACCUCCUUUGAGCCUAGGCCUAGAAGAUUUAGCGCAAAUCAGCCUAUAAAAUGUAUAAAUCAGACAAAAAAAAAAAUCAUUUAGUCACCAAUUCAGUGAGAAUAUAAAAGUAAACAAAUAAAAUCAAGCGUAACUAAGUUGUUUGAAGUUUGAAAUCGGUUCUCAUUGUCAUGGAUUUGAUUCUUCACCAACAUUUAAAGAUUUUGCAUGUAUUGUCUGAUUUAGUUUCUGUUGGUUAAUUAAGUUUGAUCGAUAAUGCAAAAUCUUAGGGGAGGAGAAUGCCACGUGUGCAUUCAAGAAAUCAGGACACACCAUAUGUACAAAACCCAAUCCAAAUUUCAAGCCAAAAUUACAAAUGCUGGCAAUUACUGUUAUUCAUGCACACUGGAUCCAUUUGCCAAAUAUUUUAUCUGGAAUUUGCCCCGUUAAAACCACUCAUGUGAAAUGUGGUUGUCUGUUGAUCCUUACGGUUGGGCAUUUGCGCAUUGUCAAGUCCACACAUUAAUAUAAAAAUUUUAAUUAACAAUGUAAAUUGGUUCGGUUUGAUUUCUGAUUUGGUUUCUUAUUUAAUAAUGUAAAUUAAAACAUGAAAAAAAAUCACUCUCUAAACUUUAAUUAAAGAAUGAAUCUCACCCAUUUAACCUCAUAAAUUAUGGGUUGAGACAGCAAAAAAUCAAGUAUGAAUAAAUAAAAAUGACUAUGAAAUUGAACCAAUACACAAAAUGAGGCAGAAAAGAAAAAAAGAACAUAUAUAUACACACAACAAAAAAAUAUACAACAUGAAAAAUCUUAGAAAAAAAGAAAAAAAUAUAUAUAUAUAUAUAUAUACACAACAAAAAAAAUAUACAAAAUGAAAAAUCUUAAGGAAUGAGCUGUCACGUGUUGAUUUUUGAGAAAAAAUUGAUAGAGUUAGAAUUUUAGCAUAUAAUUAACUUUUCAAAUGAAAUCUUAAAAUGAAGAGAAUUAUAUAUUUUUAAAAUAUAAACUUAUAUAGAAAAAAAACUUGUACAAAUAAAAUAAUUAAAUAUUUACAUAAUAUAAAUAUAACUAUCAUUAAUUUUGCAGUUUUCAAAAAUAAAUCAAUCCAAAUCAAGUUAAUCAAUUUUUAUUGCAGUCCAAGAAUUAAAAAAAAAUUAUAAGUGUUAAAAUUUAAAUAUAAAUUAUUAUUUUUUAAAAAUAAUUAUAUAAAAUAAGUAAAAUAAACUUCUGGUUCAUCAAUAUUUGAUUUUAACCAAAUAACGUUCAAUGUUACAUUUAAAUGAUAGGUGAUAAGUUAAAAUAAAAUGAAGUAGCUAAUUCUUAUCAUAUAAACUAAUUAAAAAAAGUGAAACAUCAUAAUUAUUUUCCUUUGAUAGAAAAGGGUGAAGAUUAAGCAUAUAGUAGUUUUUAGAUUAACAAAAAUGACCAAAAAAAGUUUGGCAUCAAUUUGGUCAUGGAAUGUGAUAGAUCAUAUAAUCCUACAUAUAUAUUAUUUUUAAUUUUAUGAAUCAACAUUUUUAUGUGGUGGUGGUUAUAAAAAAUGCGAGGAAAUUGAAAAAGAAAAAACAAACUUGACCAACAAGAAGUCUAAACAAAAUCUGUUGUGGACAUACAUUUGUGAUUGUUACCCAUUGCCAUGGCCUUUUGCUUUGUACUUUGAUUAUUAUUCAAAUUUGAAAUUGUAAUUUCUGUAUAUUAUCUUAUGUUGCAUCAUGAUCAACAUACACUUGAUUAUUAUUGAUAAAGGAUACUGCACUUGAGAAAUCAAGGAAAAAUGCGUAAGUUCAAAUUUGCAAUUAUUUUUUUUAUUUUACAUAAUUCAAUACAUUUUUAUAUUUGCAUAUAUGAUAGUAUUUUUUUUUUUAACAGAAUCUUGUUGGGCCAUGACAACAGUUUCUCUAUUAGAAUCUGUUUGGUCCCUCAAAUUUAACAAGGCUCCGUCUCUUCUAUCACCACAAAUGUUAGUAGAUUGUAUUCAAGAAAAUUCAGACGAACUUGAAGGUAGACGAGACUGCUAUCAGCAUAGUGUUGUAAAAGCACUUGAAUGGUUGAAGAAAAAUGAGGUUUAUGGGGAAAUUGAUUAUCUCUACGUGAAAAGUUAGGGAAAAUGUCGUGCUAGCUCCAUUACCGUAAGCAUCAAUGUGUUUUUGUUUUUAUUCAAAACAAAUAUAUGAAUUGUAAUAUUGUAUCAACGUUUUUUUUAUUGUUUUUUUCAGCCAACUGUGCGUGUGAAGAUCGAGAAUUACCGUACUAUAGUUGGUGAGGAUAAGAGUCAGAUUCUCAUGAAAGUUGCACGUCGACACGUUGCUGCCGUGACUGAAGCAUAUCAGGAAUUUAUAUAUCUAAAAUAUGUAAGUAAUUUUAGAUUGUUUUAUAUUUGUCAAAUGCUUUUAAAUAAUUAGAUUUACAUUUUUUUUAACAUCACUACAUGAUUGUCUCUAAUUUUUCUUUUUGUUAUUUCUUACCAUGGAAGGAAAUCUAUGAAGGUCCAGAAAAGGAAACUGACGAGCCACCUCCUUUGCAUGCAAUCCUUAUUGUUGGUUAUGGUACAGAGGGACAGGGUGCGGAUGCAAAAAAUUAUUGGUUGGUUAUUAGGGUUUACUAGUAUGCUACACAAAUAUUAUAUUACUAUGGUAUUAUACAGUUUAUCUAAUCUAAUGGUUGAGUUUGAAAACUAUCCAAAUUAUGAUAUAUAUAUAUAUAUAUAUGUCUUUUUACCAAUUAAUUCUUCUGGUUUGUGAAUCUAAAGCUUGUUCAAAAGCAAUGAUCAUGUACACAUCAUGUUGUAUGGUUUAUAUAUUAAUAUAAAAAUACCAAUCGAUAAAACCAUCGCUCAUUCCACAUUUGCAAAAUAGGAAAGCUGUUACUGUUUUCGUUACAUGAUUGUUUCAUUAUCAUUCAAUAAUUUAUUUAUUAAUUAAAAGAAACCCUAUUCAAUUAAACUUACCCAUUUUAAAGAAUCAUUUAUAAUUUAAUACAUUGUUUUUUUUUCAAUUAAACAACAAUCCAUUAAUUAUGCUUUUUAAUUUAAAUAUCACCAUUAACAUAUUAAUACAUUGUUCUUUUUCAAUUAAAAAACAAUACAUUAAUUAUACUUUUUAAUUUAAAUAUCAUUGUUGACAUAUGUAAAUAUAUGCUUCUUCUAUUUUUCUCACACACAUAUAUAUUAUUUAUUGAAGAAUUUAGUAUUGCGAAAACAUGUAAUGGAUGCAUUUCACUUAUAAAUUUUUUAUUAUACUUUUACAAUUAUCUAAUCACAAUAAAUAAUUACGUUUAAAUUCAUCACUUAUAAAUAAAGAUUCUAUAUAAAGUUUUUUUUAAACCCCAUAUAAUUUUAAAUUAUGAUUAAGUAAUUAUAAUAUAAAUAUUGUAAGUUAUAUGCUCAUCUAUGUGAUAUGAAUAUUAUUUUAUAGUAAAAUAUUUUUUAAAAAUAUAUAUUAAUAGAAAAAUUGCUAGAAGUUGGACUGCGUGAUGAAAAAUUGCUAGAAGUCAGGAUUUCGUAAGGGUUUGGCUCGACUCAUGAGGAUAGACAAAGAAGUUGUGGAUUCUCAUACAAAGUAAAAAACAAGAACAGGUUUGCCUACCUUGAAAGUUCUUUCAUGAGUUUCUAGUGCAACAUGCCAACGAAGAACGUGGGUUAGAUGUAUUCAUCUUAGCUAUAUACGAAAUGGUGAUAUUUCUAAAAGUUUUGGGUUUUAUUGAAAUAGCGGUGGUUGACUUCUUCGAGAGUGUGAUCAAUGGUUGUAACCCUUCAAUGGUAAUAUUAGCAGAGACUAUCAGAUCUUUGAGUUACUGUCGUCGGAAUGGAGGGUGUUUUAUAGGCUGUAUACAAUUAUUAUACUUAUGGAUGAAAAGUCACUUCGAAUGGAGAAAAUGUGCUUUCUCGAAGCUUUAUGUCCACAAUCAAACUUCGAUCAAGGAAUUCUGUGAAAGUGAGUGGUCAGAACAAAAGUCUAAAAAGAAGUGGAUAGCUUUCCUACAAAAAUUGACUAGUGCCAAAGUAAGAUGGUUGGUUCCGUGGAUGAAUCGUGAACUUAUGUUGUAUCAAUGUGGAGAUAAUAUUGUGGUCUCACUUUUGGGUUUAUGAGGAACAACAAGUUAUGCACCACUCCUAGUGAGAAGGCAGUUUGGGGCAGAAUAGUUCAUUCUUAUGACGCAUGGAUUCAUCAGUUAAAUUUCUCUUACAAUGAGUCAAAAGCAUUUCAGAGGAUGAAUGAGAUGAUUAAAGUGUGGAAAAACUCCUGAAGAGUGAGUCUUAGAUCGUUCACUGAUAAAGUCAUUCUAGGGUAUUUACUUUGGAGAGCAAGACGAAGACAGGAAAUGAUAUUCACUUAUGAAAGCUUUCAACCGCCAAUAGGAGGAAAGCUUGAAGAGACACCAUCAGAAUUAGAGCUUGUGAUAAAAGAAUUUAAGUUUGAAAAGGAUAAGUUAAAGCAAAAAAUCCAGAAGCUUCGAGAAGAAAAAGAUUAGUGGAAAGAUAGAGCUGAAAGACAUGAAGCCAGAGUUUGCAAGAUUGCUAGAGAAUGUGAUACAGCUGUUGAAAACCUAGCAGAGCUACACCAAGAACAUAAAAGGUUAUGUGUGAGAGAAAGGGCCAAAGAGAUAACAAUUGUUAAGCUGACUGAAGAGAAUGCAAGAUUGAAACAGGAAUAUGCUGAAUUGAAAGAAGAAAGUACCCAAGUACAGAUAAAGAAUAACAUGUUGAAUAGCUACUUAAGCAGGUUGAGAUAAAAGUUGAAUGAACAAGAAGAUCAUAUUGCUGCAUUGGUUAGAGAGCAUAGAGAGUUAUCAUACCAAGUCUGCUAUGAUAAAAUAGAUAACUUAAGAAGAUAGAAGUACAUUGAGCACCUGACGACCCAAAUUUCUAAAGGGGUAUGCAAGGCAAGAGAGAUGGUAGAAGAAGCAGAGGUAUUAAAACAAGAGGUGGCCCUAGUAGGAGAAAAUGGGUAACUUCUAUUAAACUUCAUCGAUGAAGCAAAGGCCUAGUAUGAGCAGAUCAAAUGACUUUAUGGUUAUAACUCUAAGAUGAUAACUCAAUGUAAAUAAAAGUUCUUUGGAAUAAAUGAAAUUUUUUAGCAUCGUCUUAAGGCAAAUAUUCUUUGCAUACCUGUAUUUUCAUUUAUUGCAUUCUCACUCAUUACACUUAACAAAGUAACAUGAGAUAGUCGUAUAAAUUUAAUAAUUCUAAGAUACGGUAUUCAAGGUUCAAGGAUAGCUUCAUCUAGCAAAAACUUUAUCUAUCGAUAUAACACAAAAGCUAGAACCAGAUAAAUGGAGCAAAAAAACUCUCACAGAUUUGAAAAGCUGAAAAAAACAUGAGAAAAUAUUAAGAAUGAGUUGAAAAAAAUUCUAGAUGCCCUCAAUAAGCUAAACAUGGAAAAAGAAAUAGAAGAAAAUACAAGCCAAGAAGGCCCUCCAUCACAAGAAAUGGUCGAUCUUUUGUAUUCUUCAAGUUUUGGUCCAUAACAAGCCCAACCCACACAGGAUAUUCCACCACAACAGUUCACAUAUCCUGUAUACCCUAAAAUACCAUCAGCCUCGAAUCCAUGACAUUAUCAUAGCUAUGUAAAUUCUGUCUUUACUAAAAUGGUAAUAGAACCGAUUCAAGUUCCUGAUCUAAAUGACUCGAAAAAGAAAGAGAAAAAAAAAAGUAAAAGUGAUGGAGUCUCAAGAAGAUUCAAAGAUUAGUAUGCUUAAACAAAAAUUACGGGUCAUAAAAAAGAUUGAAUUUUAUGGUUCUGUUGAUGCUGCUAGGCUGUGCGUAGUCUCAAAUAUAGUCAUUUCACUAAAAUUUAAAGUAUCAAAAUUUGAGAAAUAUGAUGGUACGAAAUACCUAAAAACUCAUAUUACCAUGUACUGUCAGAAGAUGACAGCCCAUGUCUAUAAUGAAAAACUAUUAAUGGACGUUUUUUAAAAUAGCCUUAUAUGCUCUACUGUCAUGUGGUAUGUCCAGCUGGACAGAACCCAUAUUCGUUCUUAGAGUGAUAUGACUAAUAAUUUCAUUAAUCAAUAUCGGUUUAUUAUGGAUCUGGCUCCUGAUCGUUUGUCUUUAUAGAACCUGAAAAAAAAAAGGUAAAUGAGUCUUUUAAAGAAUAUGCCCAGAGAUAGAAGGACGUAGCUUCUCAAGUACAACCCCAUCUAACUGAGAAAGAGAUUACAGUGUUAUUUCUUAGCACUUUAAAAUCUUCUUAUUAUGAAAAAAAGAUAAGGAAUGCAACAAAAAAUUUUACUAAUAUGAUAAUUUUGAAAGAAAUUAUUAAGAGUGUCAUCAAGAAUGAUAAGCUAGAAGAAGGUGAAGCAUCUACUAAAGAGAUCCCGAAAAAAAAAGAGACUGAAGCUAAAGCUGUGAGCUUUGAUUGACAACAAUUUAGGGGUUAUCAACCUUACCCAUCACAAGGAUACCCCUCAUAUUAUCCUGAUGUGAAUUACACCUCUCUUUAUCCAUACCAACCCAUCCCACAGCCAUCCUACCGCCAAACAUAUCAACCUUCCUUCAGACCUCAAAAUGCCACAUACAAUCCUAACACUCAACCUAUCUCAAGACCUCAAACUUGUCCAGCCAGCCCAAUAGGAGGUUCUCGUGAGCAAUGAACCACUCGUGAAAAGCCUGUAUUUGAUCCAAUCCCUAUGACCUAUACAGAGUUAUAUCAUGAGCUUUACAACAAUCAUCCGAUUGCUUCUAAUAAAUUAAAGCCACUUAAACCACCUUACCUUAAGUGAUAUGAUCCCACAGCCUUUUGUGACUAUCACUAUGGGAUCACUAGUUACUUUAUUAAAAAUUGUACUACCUUGAAACACAAAGUGCAAUUACUGAUCAAGGAUGGAAUGAUUAGUUUUGAUACAGGAGGGGUAACUUUACCAAAUGUUAGUGGUAAUCAUUUGCCUAAUCAUAAUGUGAAUGCCCUGAGUAAUGAACAUAAAUGCUAUCUGAAAAGAAAAGUGACAGAUAUUAAGACACCUCUUAGUCAGCUGUUUGAUAUUUUAUGAAAAGUUGAUAUGAUACAACCAGUGAGUUUGCACAGCUAUCAUUGAUUCGAGAACGCUAUAAACAGUUAAAUUUCACAGAAGAAAAGAGAGUUGGUGACAUAGACAACUUCUAGCAAUCUUUCUAUAAAUAAUUUUUUAAAACAAUUAUUUUACUGUAAAUAAUAUUCAUUUCACAUAGACAGUAUAUGACUUACAAUUAUUAUAUUAUAAUUACUUAAUCAUAAUUUAAAAUUAUAUGAGGUUUACACAAAUUUUAUAUAGGACCUUUAUAAAUUUAUACAUAAUUAUUUAUUGUAAUUGAAUAAUUGUAAGAAUAUAAUAAAAAAAUUAUAUAUGCAAUGCAUUCUUUACAUAUUUUCGCAAUUAUAUAUAUAUAUAGAAGGAAAAUGUAAGAAGAAUAUAUUUACAUAUAUCAAUGGCCAUAUUUAAAUUAAUGCAUUGUUUUUUAAUUGAAAAAUAACAAUGUAUUAAAUUAUUUACGAUUCUUUGUAAUGGGUAUGUUUAAUUGAAUAGGGUUUCUUUUAAUUAAUAAAUAAAUUAUUGAAUGAUAAUAAAACAAUCACAUACUAAAAAUGAAAAGUGGACUUUCUCUUUUGAGAAUGGUAAAUUAGUCAAUAUUUAAAAACAACGCAAAACGGCCCCUCUCUUUUAUUUUUUAUUUUUUUAAUUUUUUCAAACAAGAAAUGCAAAGCUCAAAUUUUGAUUUACCUGAGAUCGAGUGUUUUAAUUAGCCCAAUAUUUUACUUUAGAUGAUGCCUAUACAAUUCUUUAAAAUAAAAGUUAAAAUGCUAAAUAGAAAAAUGAAGAUGCAGGACCAAUAUUUAGAUGAUUGUUGGAAUAACCGGGUCGUUGAUAUUGAGUAGUACAAAAAGCCAAUGGGUUAAAGGACAUUUGGCAUGUAACACAGUUACAAAACAAAACUGUCCGUCCCACGCGUACGAGUAUAAUAGGGGGAAGAGCUGCUAAAAAAUAUAUAUAUGUGUGUGGGCAUAUGAUAAUAUAAUUUAGUUAAGUUUUUGGUACUGAUAACAUUAUAUUUUAAUUUAUUAGCUAAAUGGCGUAAGAAAAGUAAUAACUUAAACGUUCAUUGUCAUUAAAAAAUGAAAUAAGGAAAAGAAUUUAGAAACCGGUAAACUCCACAAGUAAUUAGUAAACAGUAAAUAAAUUUUAAAAAGUAAAAAAGCUAAAACUCAUCCUGUUAACAGAAAUACGGGUAUAGCAACCGUUUUAUUAUUUUAUUUAUACUUACCCCUCUAGGAGAAAGACUAGUGCAGCUGAUUUAGUAUUUUCAAGAAGGUCACGAGCGUCCUCCUCAUUUCAGCGUUUCUUCGUCUCUGGUAAUUUCUCAUCUUCUCCAUUUUCAUUUCUCUCUGUACCCGUUUGCAAGAGUUUAUGUUUUCAUUACUCUUUCUGUUUCUAUGUGCAAGAGUUUAUGGUGAGGUGAAAUUUUUUUGGACAGCUAUACUUUAUGUAACAGAAGAAUUUCUAGGGUUUUCUUUGAUGAGAUUGAUGGAGAAGUUCAUUAUUUGGGUUUUGGUACGUAGAAGCUUAAUCAGGUGGAAUCUUAGUGGUUUAAAGGGAAUGGUUCGUAUUUACUUGCAAAGUUUCUUAAUGCUAUCCUUCUGUUAUUUGGUGAAGUUUGAAAAGCUUGUUUGGUUUUUAGGACUUGGCCAAUUUAUUGAAUAUCUUUUGGCUGGUUUAUUAAAAUGAAGAUGGCUUUCUGAUGGUGAGACUGUUCUUUGGUCCUCAUGAAUAGCUAGAAAUGAAUUGGUUUUCGAAAGGGGAAAAUGGGAAGUGGAUGAGGUGUUCUUUCUUAUUAAAUCGAGAGCUUAUUUGACGUGGGUUAAAGCUAUAGAGGGUGAAUUGAGUUUGGUUGAGCUUGGGUGGAGUAUGGUGGGUAUCGUCAGUGUACAUAAGCCAAGAGUAGGGGUUUAUUGAUCGCAUCCGGUGGGGUUUGGACAGUGCCGAUUUGUUUGUGGAUUGGCGAGUAGCAUAUCGUUAAUGGUUUUAUGUUUAUGACUUGUGUAUUGAUAGACCUUUAUGUUUCUGGAAAUGCUUUCAUUAAUAAAAUCAGAUUGAGGGAAAAAAAAAAAAAAAAACUUUGUGUUUUUGAUGGUUUUGUAUAUUGGAGGAUUUCUUUUGAAUAACUAUCAUAUUGUAAUGGAACCAUCUAUGUGCAUUUUAUUAUUGCCAGUGAUGUGGCUUGCUCUAUCUGCUUUUGCAUAUUAAUGAAAUUUAUUUGACUUAAAAGAAAAAUUAUAAUGUGAAAAUGAAAACGUAGAAGGGAGAAAAAAUUACUAAAACUCACCUGCAUCUUAGAAUCUUGAUUUUUUUUUUCUGUUUUGCUCCUUUAUCUUUUUUUUUUUUUUUUUUACUCAUUUCCUGGGUUCAAUUUUGUAGAUCAUGCCGUUAGAUAUAGAAAAGGCAGAACCGAUUCUCAUUCCUAAUGGUUAUCCGGUACACGUGGAUUGGAGGAAGAAAAGGAUACUGCACUUGAGAAAUCAAGGAAAAAUGCGUAAGUUCAAAUUUGCAAUUAUUUUUUUAUUUUACAUAAUUCAAUACGUUUUUAUAUUUGCAUAUAUGAUAGUAUUUUUUUUUUAACAGAAUCUUGUUGGGCCAUGACAACAGUUUCUCUAUUAGAAUCUGUUUGGUCCCUCAAAUUUAACAAGGCUCCGUCUCUUCUAUCACCACAAAUGUUAGUAGAUUGUAUUCAAGAAAAUUCAGACGAACUUGAAGGUAGACGAGACUGCUAUAAGUAUAGUGUUGUAAAAGCACUUGAAUGGUUGAAGAAAAAUGAGGUUUAUGGGGAAAUUGAUUAUCCCUACGUGAAAAGUUGGGGAAAAUGUCGUGCUAGCUCCAUUACCGUAAGCAUCAAUGUGUUUUUGUUUUUAUUCAAAACAAAUAUAUGAAUUGUAAUAUUGUAUCAACGUUUUUUUUUAUUGUUUUUUUCAGCCAACUGUGCGUGUGAAGAUCGAGAAUUACCGUACUAUAGUUGGUGAGGAUAGGAGCCAGAUUCUCAUGAAAGUUGCACGUCGACCCGUUGCUGUCGUGAUUGAAGCAUAUCAGGAAUUUAUAUAUCUAAAAGAUGUAAGUAAUUUUAGAUUGUUUUAUAUUUUUCAAAUGCUUUUAAAUAAUUAGAUUUACAUUUUUUUUAACAUCACUACAUGAUUGUCUCUAAUUUUUCUUGUUGUUGUUUCUUACCAUGGAAGGAAAUCUAUGAAGGUCCAGAAAAGGAAACUGACGAGCCACCUCCUUUGCAUGCAAUCAUUAUUGUUGGUUAUGGUACAGAGGGACAGGGUGCGGAUGCAAAAAAUUAUUGGUUGGUUAUGAAUUCUUGGGGAUCUGAUUGGGGAGUAGAGGGAUUUGGACGGGUUUGCAGAGAUACUACGGUAGAUGAAAAGUUUUUGCUUACACGAAUCGCUUAUCCUAUAUUUGAUGAGGAGAAAAACCAGAAAUGAACCAUAUGUUUGAGACUUAAUAUCCUUUGUUAUUAGUGUUAUUGAGAUUUUAUAUUACACAUUACAGUUGCUUAGUUUGAUAUUACAAAAGAGUUAUAUGGGCUUAAUAUUUUAUAAUAUCAACUUUUUGAUCAUUUUAUUCUAGUUUUUAUUGCGAAAAUAACAAUCAUUUCAGCUGUGAAUUAAUUAAAUUUUCGUAUAAAUUCAAAACUUUCUACACCAUGAUUAUAGGUAAUUGAGAUUAUAUUUAAUAUUGUAAAUAACACUGUAUAAUUGUUGAUUUUUUGAUAAAAUUGGAAAGGAAAACAAAUUGGACAUAGUAAGAGCUUUUAUUUCAAUACUGAUAUAGAUAAUAUAUAUAUAUAUAUAUAUAAUAAAUUAAAAUUUGGCACAUUCAUUAUGAUAAGCAUGUUGUUCUUUUUUCUUUUUUUUUUUAAAGAAUAAUUUUAAAAAGUUAUGUAGCUAGUUUUUCUAUAUAAAAAAAAGUUUCUGUAACUUCUCAAUUUUUUUUUUAAAAUUUGAAAAGACAUAAAUUUUUUUUAUUUUAUAUUUUUUUAUAUUUGAUUUUUAUGUAAAUAAGCAAGUCUAUGUCUCGCUUAUCUAACGCACGUAUAGUUUCAACUUGUUUCUUUUUUUUUACAUAUGGAUAUUAUAAUAUCAGUUUCAUUUUUGUCACGUUUAGAUUUUUUAAUUGCUAUGUCAGUUAUUUUAUAUGUCAUCAAAGUUUACUUAAUAAUAUUUAAUUUCACAUUAACUUAUAUUUUAAUUAUUCAUGAAUUUAGAAAUUUAAAAAUUUCUAUAUUCUUAAACUCAAUUAAUUAUAGAUAAAUGUGCUUUAUAUUCUGUGUCAUUUAAAGUUAAAUUUAUUCAUAUUUACUAUUAAUUAAUUAUGAAUCAAAUUUAAUUAUUUAUAAAUUUAAUUAAUUAAAAAUAAAUAUACUUAACUUUAAUACAAUUUAAAUUAAUAUCUUUAUUAAUAAUAUAAAUAUAUAAAAUCAAAUCAUGCUAAUCAUUAUUUACUUCACUCAAUAACACAAAUUACAUUGCCUAUAAAUUAUUCCCUACAGAAACGCUAAAGAAUAAAAGUAAACUAUAACCGGCAGCAAUGGAUGUGAGACUAGUUUUUUUUUUGUUAGUUUCAUUACUUUUUUCCUUUCACUCACCUAAUAAGUGCGUCAAAACUUAAUUUCUUUCAUGUCGAAAAAUCAAUGAAUUUGUUAGAGAAAACAGAAAAUACUUGCCCGACAAGAAAAGGAAAAUAAAAUAAAAUGAACGAACACGUGAUGUGAUGACAAUGACGGUUCGAUCGUUAAGAAAAUGGUGGGACCGGGUCCAUUCCUACGCGGACGGUUAAGAUCUAAUCUCGAAAUUGUACGCACAUCAGGUGCUACUUAUUAUCCCUCCCUCAGACUCGGUUAUUUUAGGGUUAGGAUUCCGUCUCAUUCGUGAUCUAACCAACUUCUGCAAUUCUCAUGGCUUCCGUUCCACCUCUCCCCAUGGAGGAGCAACCACCAACUACGGAGGAGCGACCAUCAAGUGAGAAGAAACAGGAACAAGAACACGAUUAUUUUCUGUCUCAUUUUGACGAAGAUACCGAUGAGGAAGAAAGCAGCCAGUCCGGUACUUGCGAAGCCGAGGAAUUUCGUGAGAUGACGGAUGCGGAGCAAAAAGCCUUUUCAGCUGCUUUCAAAGAGAGUGGUGUAAGCCUAUUUCUGCAAAAUUUAAGUUUCAUAUACAUAUAUUCUAUAUUUAUUAAGUUUACCUUGUAGGGAUUUGAUGUUCCUCCUUUUCCUGGGGUUUAUUACAACGACCUAAUUACGCCCAUGAAUAUGAGUAAAGGUGGGCCGGAAUAUCUAUUCCGUUAUUCCGUGGCAGGGAUCGGCCGAUAUAAUGAAGAACAUGUUGGUUUGGUUUUUUUUUUUUUUUCUUGUUUUCUUUAUCUUUUUUCCGGUGAUAUAAUUUUGACUGAUAUUUUUAAUGUUUUCAGGGAACCAACUAUGAGGUAGUCCGAGUGGAAAAGUGCAUGCAACAGGCUGCUCGCGGUAUUAAGUACUACAUAACCUUCCAUGCCAAGAAUAAGAUUGCUUCAGAGCAUGGCAGUGAUACUCCUAAAGCUGCUGAUGAUAGUAGCGAUAAAACUGAAAUCUUUGAGGCUUUGGUCUUGUUCGGUAUUCCAAAGGACAAAAAGGAUGAACCAAUCGAUGUGAUCUUUUGUAGGCUAAAGGGUACCAGGCCAGGUACUAAUGUUUUUCAUUAAUGCAAUUACUUUUAAAAAAAAAAAAAAAAUCCGUACUUGGUUAUUGAUGAAUUAUCACUUUUAUAUUCUACUUGAAUAUCCGAUUGUUAGCAUACAUUACACUAGUUUAAGGGAUAUGUUUGGUGAUCCUUAUCUACAAGGAAUACUCCGUAAAUUUAAACCCAGUUGUGCACUUCAUCUGUUUUGUGAUGAACAGAUAUAUCAUUUGCAUUUACUGGCUUAAUUAUAGAUAUGUCGUGAAUAGCAACUACUUACUAUGAUGAAGGAUUUGUGAACUUUUUAACGAAUGACUUAAUUGUGAUUGCCAUAUACAGUGUGUUGUGUUUUCAUGUUGGGGAGUUUGUUGGUCUGCAGUUGAGAAUUGCUUGUGUGUUGUUUGAUAUUUUGCAUGACUGUCAUGUUUUGUUUAUUGGGUUACCUUUACUUAAGGUUUUGGAUAUCUAGUUAUCUAGGGUAAGUGCUGGCUUUUGAUGAGCUUAAUGAAUGGCUACCCAUUUUUAGCUAGAGGUUUUACCGCUGUAGAGUAGUAGUAAUAUAAAGGCAAGGUUUAGGACUUCUUUAUGAUCUUGGUGGAACGACAGAGACUAACCCUAUAUUUAGUUUUAGAUAAGGAAGUAAAAUGCAAGUUCAGGUGAGUGUGUUCUAUUGGUCAGAAAAUUUUUUAUUUUAGGGUGCUGCCCAUGUUCACAUAUAUAUACAAUCACAAUUAAUUUAAUUUAUUGGUUGUGUUGAUGUAGAUCUUUGAAAAUUUUGUGGAGGCGUUCAGCUGGUGGGUGAGAAGAGCACCAGAAGUUGAGCACGUCAUCUUGUUAAUGCUUCUUAUUUUAUAAUUUGAACCUCUAUCUAGAAUGUUUAUGUGUUAAGCGAUCUAAACUCAUCCGACGCUUUCGCUUACCGACUACAGUACUGUUGAUUAUAUAACUUUGUGCUGCUUCUAUGUUUAAUGAUUUAGCUAUGAAAACCACAUUAUCCUAAUUUCUUAUACUCAGCUUUAGGUGAGUUAGGGAACUUUUAUUCUGCUGUCACAGUGUUCAUGGCCCAUUUUCGCCCCAAAAGCUCUCGACGAGCUGUAUACGAAAUUAACAUCUAUAUAUCUAGUAGAAUGAAAUUUACGUCUGUAUUAUAUCUAGUUAUCUGUACAAUGGAUCAUAUAAGUGAGAGAACCGUUUUGCUACUGAGUCAGCGCCAGCACCAUUGGUUUAUACAAGACUUAAAGCUUUUUUCUGGUUUAAGCAUCUUCUGCAUGAAUUGCUGUUCUGUUUCCUGGACCAUAAAAUGUCCUUUGGCUGGGCCUGGGAUGAUCAAGUUGAACCUCCUUUGAGCCUAGGCCUAGAAGAUUUAGCGCAAAUCAGCCUAUAAAAUGUAUAAAUCAGACAAAAAAAAAAUCAUUUAGUCACCAAUUCAGUGAGAAUAUAAAAGUAAACAAAUAAAAUCAAGCGUAACUAAGUUGUUUGAAGUUUGAAAUCGGUUCUCAUUGUCAUGGAUUUGAUUCUUCACCAACAUUUAAAGAUUUUGCAUGUAUUGUCUGAUUUAGUUUCUGUUGGUUAAUUAAGUUUGAUCGAUAAUGCAAAAUCUUAGGGGAGGAGAAUGCCACGUGUGCAUUCAAGAAAUCAGGACACACCAUAUGUACAAAACCCAAUCCAAAUUUCAAGCCAAAAUUACAAAUGCUGGCAAUUACUGUUAUUCAUGCACACUGGAUCCAUUUGCCAAAUAUUUUAUCUGGAAUUUGCCCCGUUAAAACCACUCAUGUGAAAUGUGGUUGUCUGUUGAUCCUUACGGUUGGGCAUUUGCGCAUUGUCAAGUCCACACAUUAAUAUAAAAAUUUUAAUUAACAAUGUAAAUUGGUUCGGUUUGAUUUCUGAUUUGGUUUCUUAUUUAAUAAUGUAAAUUAAAACAUGAAAAAAAAUCACUCUCUAAACUUUAAUUAAAGAAUGAAUCUCACCCAUUUAACCUCAUAAAUUAUGGGUUGAGACAGCAAAAAAUCAAGUAUGAAUAAAUAAAAAUGACUAUGAAAUUGAACCAAUACACAAAAUGAGGCAGAAAAGAAAAAAAAGAACAUAUAUAUACACACAACAAAAAAAUAUACAAAAUGAAAAAUCUUAGAAAAAAAGAAAAAAAAAAAAUAUAUAUAUAUAUAUAUAUACACAACAAAAAAAUAUACAAAAUGAAAAAUCUUAAGGAAUGAGCUGUCACGUGUUGAUUUUUGAGAAAAAAUUGAUAGAGUUAGAAUUUUAGCAUAUAAUUAACUUUUCAAAUGAAAUCUUAAAAUGAAGAGAAUUAUAUAUUUUUAAAAUAUAAACUUAUAUAGAAAAAAAACUUGUACAAAUAAAAUAAUUAAAUAUUUACAUAAUAUAAAUAUAACUAUCAUUAAUUUUGCAGUUUUCAAAAAUAAAUCAAUCCAAAUCAAGUUAAUCAAUUUUUAUUGCAGUCCAAGAAUUAAAAAAAAAUUAUAAGUGUUAAAAUUUAAAUAUAAAUUAUUAUUUUUUAAAAAUAAUUAUAUAAAAUAAGUAAAAUAAACUUCUGGUUCAUCAAUAUUUGAUUUUAACCAAAUAACGUUCAAUGUUACAUUUAAAUGAUAGGUGAUAAGUUAAAAUAAAAUGAAGUAGCUAAUUCUUAUCAUAUAAACUAAUUAAAAAAAGUGAAACAUCAUAAUUAUUUUCCUUUGAUAGAAAAGGGUGAAGAUUAAGCAUAUAGUAGUUUUUAGAUUAACAAAAAUGACCAAAAAAAGUUUGGCAUCAAUUUGGUCAUGGAAUGUGAUAGAUCAUAUAAUCCUACAUAUAUAUUAUUUUUAAUUUUAUGAAUCAACAUUUUUAUGUGGUGGUGGUUAUAAAAAAUGCGAGGAAAUUGAAAAAGAAAAAACAAACUUGACCAACAAGAAGUCUAAACAAAAUCUGUUGUGGACAUACAUUUGUGAUUGUUACCCAUUGCCAUGGCCUUUUGCUUUGUACUUUGAUUAUUAUUCAAAUUUGAAAUUGUAAUUUCUGUAUAUUAUCUUAUGUUGCAUCAUGAUCAACAUACACUUGAUUAUUAUUGAUAAAGGAUACUGCACUUGAGAAAUCAAGGAAAAAUGCGUAAGUUCAAAUUUGCAAUUAUUUUUUUUAUUUUACAUAAUUCAAUACAUUUUUAUAUUUGCAUAUAUGAUAGUAUUUUUUUUUUUAACAGAAUCUUGUUGGGCCAUGACAACAGUUUCUCUAUUAGAAUCUGUUUGGUCCCUCAAAUUUAACAAGGCUCCGUCUCUUCUAUCACCACAAAUGUUAGUAGAUUGUAUUCAAGAAAAUUCAGACGAACUUGAAGGUAGACGAGACUGCUAUCAGCAUAGUGUUGUAAAAGCACUUGAAUGGUUGAAGAAAAAUGAGGUUUAUGGGGAAAUUGAUUAUCUCUACGUGAAAAGUUAGGGAAAAUGUCGUGCUAGCUCCAUUACCGUAAGCAUCACAUGUGUUUUUGUUUUUAUUCAAACAAAUAUAUGAAUUGUAAUAUUGUAUCAACGUUUUUUUUAUUGUUUUUUCAGCCAACUGUGCGUGUGAAGAUCGAGAAUUACCGUACUAUAGUUGGUGAGGAUAAGAGUAAGAUUCUCAUGAAAAGUUGCACGUCGACACGUUGCUGCCGUGACUGAGCAUAUCAGGAAUUUAUAUAUCUAAAAUAUGUAAGUAAUUUUAGAUUGUUUUAUAUUUGUCAAAUGCUUUUAAAUAAUUAGAUUUACAUUUUUUAACAUCACUACAUGAUUGUCUCUAAUUUUUCUUUUUGUUAUUUCUUACCAUGGAAGGAAAUCUAUGAAGGUCCAGAAAAGGAAACUGACGAGCCACCUCCUUUGCAUGCAAUCCUUAUUGUUGGUUAUGGUACAGAGGGACAGGGUGCGGAUGCAAAAAAUUAUUGGUUGGUUAUUAGGGUUUACUAGUAUGCUACACAAAUAUUAUAUUACUAUGGUAAUUAUACAGUUUAUCUAAUCUAAUGGUUGAGUUUGAAAACUAUCCAAAUUAUGAAUAUAUAUAUAUAUAUAUAUAUGUCUUUUUACCAAUUAAUUCUUCUGGUUUGUGAAUCUAAAGCUUGGUUCAAAAAGCAAUGAUCAUGUACACAUCAUGUUGUAUGGUUUAUAUAUUAAUAUAAAAUACCAAUCGAUAAAACCAUCGCUCAUUCCACAUUUGCAAAAUAGGAAAGCUGUUACUGUUUUCGUUACAUGAUUGUUUCAUUAUCAUUCAAUAAUUUAUUAUUAAUUAAAGAAACCCUAUUCAAUUAAACUUACCCAUUUUAAGAAUCAUUUUAUUAAUUUAAUACAUUGUUUUUUUUCAAUUAAACAACAUCCAUUAAUUAUGCUUUUUAAUUUAAAUAUCACCAUUAACAUAUUAAUACAUUGUUCUUUUUCAAUUAAAAAACAAUACAUUAAUUAUACUUUUUAUUUAAAUAUCAUUGUUUGACAUAUGUAAAUAUCAUGCUUCUUCUAUUUUUCUCACACACAUAUAUAUUAUUUAUUGAAGAAUUAGUAUUGCGAAAACAUGUAAUGGAUGCAUUUCACUUAUAAAUUUUUUAUUAUACUUUUACAAUUAUCUAAUCACAAUAAAUAAUUACGUUUAAAUUCAUCACUUAUAAAUAAAGAUUCUAUAUAAAGUUUUUUUUAAACCCCAUAUAAUUUUAAAUUAUGAUUAAGUAAUUAUAAUAUAAAUAUUGUAAGUUAUAUGCUCAUCUAUGUGAUAUGAAUAUUAUUUUAUAGUAAAAUAUUUUUUAAAAAUAUAUAUUAAUAGAAAAAUUGCUAGAAGUUGGACUGCGUGAUGAAAAAUUGCUAGAAGUCAGGAUUUCGUAAGGGUUUGGCUCGACUCAUGAGGAUAGACAAAGAAGUUGUGGAUUCUCAUACAAAGUAAAAAACAAGAACAGGUUUGCUUACCUUGAAAGUUCUUUCAUGAGUUUCUAGUGCAACAUGCCAACGAAGAACGUGGGUUAGAUGUAUUCAUCUUAGCUAUAUACGAAAUGGUGAUAUUUCUAAAAGUUUUGGGUUUUAUUGAAAUAGCGGUGGUUGACUUCUUCGAGAGUGUGAUCAAUGGUUGUAACCCUUCAAUGGUAAUAUUAGCAGAGACUAUCAGAUCUUUGAGUUACUGUCGUCGGAAUGGAGGGUGUUUUAUAGGCUGUAUACAAUUAUUAUACUUAUGGAUGAAAAGUCACUUCGAAUGGAGAAAAUGUGCUUUCUCGAAGCUUUAUGUCCACAAUCAAACUUCGAUCAAGGAAUUCUGUGAAAGUGAGUGGUCAGAACAAAAGUCUAAAAAGAAGUGGAUAGCUUUCCUACAAAAAUUGACUAGUGCCAAAGUAAGAUGGUUGGUUCCGUGGAUGAAUCGUGAACUUAUGUUGUAUCAAUGUGGAGAUAAUAUUGUGGUCUCACUUUUGGGUUUAUGAGGAACAACAAGUUAUGCACCACUCCUAGUGAGAAGGCAGUUUGGGGCAGAAUAGUUCAUUCUUAUGACGCAUGGAUUCAUCAGUUAAAUUUCUCUUACAAUGAGUCAAAAGCAUUUCAGAGGAUGAAUGAGAUGAUUAAAGUGUGGAAAAACUCCUGAAGAGUGAGUCUUAGAUCGUUCACUGAUAAAGUCAUUCUAGGGUAUUUACUUUGGAGAGCAAGACGAAGACAGGAAAUGAUAUUCACUUAUGAAAGCUUUCAACCGCCAAUAGGAGGAAAGCUUGAAGAGACACCAUCAGAAUUAGAGCUUGUGAUAAAAGAAUUUAAGUUUGAAAGGAUAAGUUAAAGCAAAAAAUCCAGAAGCUUCGAGAAGAAAAAGAUUAGUGGAAAGAUAGAGCUGAAAGACAUGAAGCCAGAGUUUGCAAGAUUGCUAGAGAAUGUGAUACAGCUGUUGAAAACCUAGCAGAGCUACACCAAGAACAUAAAAGGUUAUGUGUGAGAGAAAGGGCCAAAGAGAUAACAAUUGUUAAGCUGACUGAAGAGAAUGCAAGAUUGAAACAGGAAUAUGCUGAAUUGAAAGAAGAAAGUACCCAAGUACAGAUAAAGAAUAACAUGUUGAAUAGCUACCUAAGCAGGUUGAGAUAAAAGUUGAAUGAACAAGAAGAUCAUAUUGCUGCAUUGGUUAGAGAGCAUAGAGAGUUAUCAUACCAAGUCUGGUAUGAUAAAAUAGAUAACUUAAGAAGAUAGAAGUACAUUGAGCACCUAACGACCCAAAUUUCUAAAGGGGUAUGCAAGGCAAGAGAGAUGGUAGAAGAAGCAGAGGUAUUAAAACAAGAGGUGGCCCUAGUAGGAGAAAAUGGGUAACUUCUAUUAAACUUCAUCGAUGAAGCAAAGGCCUAGUAUGAGCAGAUCAAAUGACUUUAUGGUUAUAACUCUAAGAUGAUAACUCAAUGUAAAUAAAAGUUCUUUGGAAUAAAUGAAAUUUUUUAGCAUCGUCUUAAGGCAAAUAUUCUUUGCAUACCUGUAUUUUCAUUUAUUGCAUUCUCACUCAUUACACUUAACAAAGUAACAUGAGAUAGUCGUAUAAAUUUAAUAAUUCUAAGAUACGGUAUUCAAGGUUCAAGGAUAGCUUCAUCUAGCAAAAACCUUAUCUAUCGAUAUAACACAAAAGCUAGAACCAGAUAAAUGGAGCAAAAAAACUCUCACAGAUUUGAAAGCUGAAAAAAAACAUGAGAAAAAUAUUAAGAAUGAGUUGAAAAAAAUUCUAGAUGCCCUCAAUAAGCUAACAUGGAAAAAGAAAUAGAAGAAAAUACAAGCCAAGAAGGCCUCCAUCACAAGAAAUGGUCGAUCUUUUGUAUUCUUCAAUUUUUGGUCCAUAACAAGCCAACCACACAGGAUAUUCCACACAACAGUUCACAUAUCCUGUAUACCUAAAAUACACUCACCUCGAAUCCAUGACAUUAUCAUAGCUAUGUAAUUCUGUCUUUACUAAAUGGUAAUAGAACCGAUUCAAGUUCCUGAUCUAAAUGACUCGAAAAAGAAAGAGAAAAAAAAAGUAAAAGUGAUGGAGUCUCAAGAAGAUUCAAGAUUAGUAUGCUUAAACAAAAAUUACGGGUCAUAAAAAGAUUGAAUUUUAUGGUUCUGUUGAUGCUGCUAGGCUGUGCGUAGUCUCAAAUAUAGUCAUUUCACUAAAAUUUAAAGUAUCAAAAUUUGAGAAAUGAUGGUACGAAAUACCUAAAAACUCAUAUUACCAUGUAUUGUCAGAAGAUGACAGCCCAUGCCUAUAAUGAAAAACUAUUAAUAGACGUUUUUUAAAAUAGCCUUAUAUGCUCUACUGUCAUGUGGUAUGUCUAGCUGGACAGAACCCAUAUUCGUUCUUAGAGUGAUAUGACUAAUAAUUUCAUUAAUCAAUAUCGGUUUAUUAUGGAUCUGGCUCCUGAUCGUUUGUCUUUAUAGAACCUGAAAAAAAAAAAAGGUAAAUGAGUCUUUUAAGAAUAUGCCCAGAGAUAGAAGGACGUAGCUUCUCAAGUACAACCCCAUCUAACUGAGAAAGAGAUUACAGUGUUAUUUCUUAGCACUUUAAAAUCUUCUUAUUAUGAAAAAAAGAUAAGGAAUGCAACAAAAAAUUUUACUAAUAUGAUAAUUUUGAAAGAAAUUAUUAAGAGUGUCAUCAAGAAUGAUAAGCUAGAAGAAGGUGAAGCAUCUACUAAAGAGAUCCCGAAAAAAAAAGAGACUGAAGCUAAAGCUGUGAGCUUUGAUUGACAACAAUUUAGGGGUUAUCAACCUUACCCAUCACAAGGAUACCCCUCAUAUUAUCCUGAUGUGAAUUACACCUCUCUUUAUCCAUACCAACCCAUCCCACAGCCAUCCUACCGCCAAACAUAUCAACCUUCCUUCAGACCUCAAAAUGCCACAUACAAUCCUAACACUCAACCUAUCUCAAGACCUCAAACUUGUCCAGCCAGCCCAAUAGGAGGUUCUCGGGAGCAAUGAACCACUCGUGAAAAGCCUGUAUUUGAUCCAAUCCCUAUGACCUAUACAGAGUUAUAUCAUGAGCUUUACAACAAUCAUCCGAUUGCUUCUAAUAAAUUAAAGCCACUUAAACCACCUUACCUUAAGUGAUAUGAUCCCACAGCCUUUUGUGACUAUCACUAUGGGAUCACUAGUUACUUUAUUAAAAAUUGUACUACCUUGAAACACAAAGUGCAAUUACUGAUCAAGGAUGGAAUGAUUAGUUUUGAUACAGGAGGGGUAACUUUACCAAAUGUUAGUGGUAAUCAUUUGCCUAAUCAUAAUGUGAAUGCCCUGAGUAAUGAACAUAAAUGCUAUCUGAAAAGAAAAGUGACAGAUAUUAAGACACCUCUUAGUCAGCUGUUUGAUAUUUUAUGAAAAGUUGAUAUGAUACAACCAGUGAGUUUGCACAGCUAUCAUUGAUUCGAGAACGCUAUAAACAGUUAAAUUUCACAGAAGAAAAGAGAGUUGGUGACAUAGACAACUUCUAGCAAUCUUUCUAUAAAUAAUUUUUUAAAACAAUUAUUUUACUGUAAAAUAAUAUUCAUUUCACAUAGACAGUAUAUGACUUACAAUUAUUAUAUUAUAAUUACUUAAUCAUAAUUUAAAAUUAUAUGAGGUUUACACAAAUUUUAUAUAGGACCUUUAUAAAUUUAUACAUAAUUAUUUAUUGUAAUUGAAUAAUUGUAAGAAUAUAAUAAAAAAAUUAUAUAUGCAAUGCAUUCUUUACAUAUUUUCGCAAUUAUAUAUAUAUAUAGAAGGAAAAUGUAAGAAGAAUAUAUUUACAUAUAUCAAUGGCCAUAUUUAAAUUAAUGCAUUGUUUUUUAAUUGAAAAAUAACAAUGUAUUAAAUUAUUUACGAUUCUUUGUAAUGGGUAUGUUUAAUUGAAUAGGGUUUCUUUUAAUUAAUAAAUAAAUUAUUGAAUGAUAAUAAAACAAUCACAUACUAAAAAUGAAAAGUGGACUUUCUCUUUUGAGAAUGGUAAAUUAGUCAAUAUUUAAAAACAACGCAAAACGGCCCCUCUCUUUUAUUUUUUAUUUUUUUAAUUUUUUCAAACAAGAAAUGCAAAGCUCAAAUUUUGAUUUACCUGAGAUCGAGUGUUUUAAUUAGCCCAAUAUUUUACUUUAGAUGAUGCCUAUACAAUUCUUUAAAAUAAAAGUUAAAAUGCUAAAUAGAAAAAUGAAGAUGCAGGACCAAUAUUUAGAUGAUUGUUGGAAUAACCGGGUCGUUGAUAUUGAGUAGUACAAAAAGCCAAUGGGUUAAAGGACAUUUGGCAUGUAACACAGUUACAAAACAAAACUGUCCGUCCCACGCGUACGAGUAUAAUAGGGGGAAGAGCUGCUAAAAAAUAUAUAUAUGUGUGUGGGCAUAUGAUAAUAUAAUUUAGUUAAGUUUUUGGUACUGAUAACAUUAUAUUUUAAUUUAUUAGCUAAAUGGCGUAAGAAAAGUAAUAACUUAAACGUUCAUUGUCAUUAAAAAAUGAAAUAAGGAAAAGAAUUUAGAAACCGGUAAACUCCACAAGUAAUUAGUAAACAGUAAAUAAAUUUUAAAAAGUAAAAAAGCUAAAACUCAUCCUGUUAACAGAAAUACGGGUAUAGCAACCGUUUUAUUAUUUUAUUUAUACUUACCCCUCUAGGAGAAAGACUAGUGCAGCUGAUUUAGUAUUUUCAAGAAGGUCACGAGCGUCCUCCUCAUUUCAGCGUUUCUUCGUCUCUGGUAAUUUCUCAUCUUCUCCAUUUUCAUUUCUCUCUGUACCCGUUUGCAAGAGUUUAUGUUUUCAUUACUCUUUCUGUUUCUAUGUGCAAGAGUUUAUGGUGAGGUGAAAUUUUUUUGGACAGCUAUACUUUAUGUAACAGAAGAAUUUCUAGGGUUUUCUUUGAUGAGAUUGAUGGAGAAGUUCAUUAUUUGGGUUUUGGUACGUAGAAGCUUAAUCAGGUGGAAUCUUAGUGGUUUAAAGGGAAUGGUUCGUAUUUACUUGCAAAGUUUCUUAAUGCUAUCCUUCUGUUAUUUGGUGAAGUUUGAAAAGCUUGUUUGGUUUUUAGGACUUGGCCAAUUUAUUGAAUAUCUUUUGGCUGGUUUAUUAAAAUGAAGAUGGCUUUCUGAUGGUGAGACUGUUCUUUGGUCCUCAUGAAUAGCUAGAAAUGAAUUGGUUUUCGAAAGGGGAAAAUGGGAAGUGGAUGAGGUGUUCUUUCUUAUUAAAUCGAGAGCUUAUUUGACGUGGGUUAAAGCUAUAGAGGGUGAAUUGAGUUUGGUUGAGCUUGGGUGGAGUAUGGUGGGUAUCGUCAGUGUACAUAAGCCAAGAGUAGGGGUUUAUUGAUCGCAUCCGGUGGGGUUUGGACAGUGCCGAUUUGUUUGUGGAUUGGCGAGUAGCAUAUCGUUAAUGGUUUUAUGUUUAUGACUUGUGUAUUGAUAGACCUUUAUGUUUCUGGAAAUGCUUUCAUUAAUAAAAUCAGAUUGAGGGAAAAAAAAAAAAACUUUGUGUUUUUGAUGGUUUUGUAUAUUGGAGGAUUUCUUUUGAAUAACUAUCAUAUUGUAAUGGAACCAUCUAUGUGCAUUUUAUUAUUGCCAGUGAUGUGGCUUGCUCUAUCUGCUUUUGCAUAUUAAUGAAAUUUAUUUGACUUAAAAGAAAAAUUAUAAUGUGAAAAUGAAAACGUAGAAGGGAGAAAAAAUUACUAAAACUCACCUGCAUCUUAGAAUCUUGAUUUUUUUUCUGUUUUGCUCCUUUAUCUUUUUUUUUUUUUUUUACUCAUUUCCUGGGUUCAAUUUUGUAGAUCAUGCCGUUAGAUAUAGAAAAGGCAGAACCGAUUCUCAUUCCUAAUGGUUAUCCGGUACACGUGGAUUGGAGGAAGAAAAGGAUACUGCACUUGAGAAAUCAAGGAAAAAUGCGUAAGUUCAAAUUUGCAAUUAUUUUUUUAUUUUACAUAAUUCAAUACAUUUUUAUAUUUGCAUAUAUGAUAGUAUUUUUUUUUAACAGAAUCUUGUUGGCCCAUGACAACAGUUUCUCUAUUAGAAUCUGUUUGGUCCCUCAAAUUUAACAAGGCUCCGUCUCUUCUAUCACCACAAAUGUUGGUAGAUUGUAUUCAAGAAGAUUCAGACGAACUUAAAGGUAGACGAGACUGCUAUAAGUAUAGUGUUGUAAAAGCACUUGAAUGUUGAUUAUCCCUACGUGAAAAGUUGGGGAAAAUGUCGUGCUAGCUCCAUUACCGUAAGCAUCAAUGUGUUUUUGUUUUUAUUCAAAACAAAUAUAUGAAUUGUAAUAUUGUAUCAACGUUUUUUUUUAUUGUUUUUUUCAGCCAACUGUGCGUGUGAAGAUCGAGAAUUACCGUACUAUAGUUGGUGAGGAUAGGAGCCAGAUUCUCAUGAAAGUUGCACGUCGACCCGUUGCUGUCGUGAUUGAAGCAUAUCAGGAAUUUAUAUAUCUAAAAGAUGUAAGUAAUUUUAGAUUGUUUUAUAUUUUUCAAAUGCUUUUAAAUAAUUAGAUUUACAUUUUUUUUAACAUCACUACAUGAUUGUCUCUAAUUUUUCUUGUUGUUGUUUCUUACCAUGGAAGGAAAUCUAUGAAGGUCCAGAAAAGGAAACUGACGAGCCACCUCCUUUGCAUGCAAUCAUUAUUGUUGGUUAUGGUACAGAGGGACAGGGUGCGGAUGCAAAAAAUUAUUGGUUGGUUAUGAAUUCUUGGGGAUCUGAUUGGGGAGUAGAGGGAUUUGGACGGGUUUGCAGAGAUACUACGGUAGAUGAAAAGUUUUUGCUUACACGAAUCGCUUAUCCUAUAUUUGAUGAGGAGAAAAACCAGAAAUGAACCAUAUGUUUGAGACUUAAUAUCCUUUGUUAUUAGUGUUAUUGAGAUUUUAUAUUACACAUUACAGUUGCUUAGUUUGAUAUUACAAAAGAGUUAUAUGGGCUUAAUAUUUUAUAAUAUCAACUUUUUGAUCAUUUUAUUCUAGUUUUUAUUGCGAAAAUAACAAUCAUUUCAGCUGUGAAUUAAUUAAAUUUUCGUAUAAAUUCAAAACUUUCUACACCAUGAUUAUAGGUAAUUGAGAUUAUAUUUAAUAUUGUAAAUAACACUGUAUAAUUGUUGAUUUUUUGAUAAAAUUGGAAAGGAAAACAAAUUGGACAUAGUAAGAGCUUUUAUUUCAAUACUGAUAUAGAUAAUAUAUAUAUAUAUAUAUAAUAAAUUAAAAUUUGGCACAUUCAUUAUGAUAAGCAUGUUGUUCUUUUUUCUUUUUUUUUUAAAGAAUAAUUUUAAAAAGUUAUGUAGCUAGUUUUUCUAUAUAAAAAAAAGUUUCUGUAACUUCUCAAUUUUUUUUUUAAAAUUUGAAAAGACAUAAAUUUUUUUUAUUUUAUAUUUUUUUAUAUUUGAUUUUUAUGUAAAUAAGCAAGUCUAUGUCUCGCUUAUCUAACGCACGUAUAGUUUCAACUUGUUUCUUUUUUUUUACAUAUGGAUAUUAUAAUAUCAGUUUCAUUUUUGUCACGUUUAGAUUUUUUAAUUGCUAUGUCAGUUAUUUUAUAUGUCAUCAAAGUUUACUUAAUAAUAUUUAAUUUCACAUUAACUUAUAUUUUAAUUAUUCAUGAAUUUAGAAAUUUAAAAAUUUCUAUAUUCUUAAACUCAAUUAAUUAUAGAUAAAUGUGCUUUAUAUUUUGUGUCAUUUAAAAGUUUAAAUUUAAAUUCAUAUUUACUAUUAAUUAAUUAUGAAUCAAAUUUAAUUAUUUAUAAAUUUAAUUAAUUAAAAAUAAAUAUACUUAACUUUAAUACAAUUUAAAUUAAAUAUCUUUAUUAAAUAAUAUAAAUAUAUAAAAACUAUGCAAAUUAUGAUAUAUAUAUAUAUAUAUAUGUCUUUUUACCAAUUAAUUCUUCUGGUUUGUGAAUCUACAGUUUGUUCAAAAGCAAUGAUCAUAUACACAUCAUGCUGUGUGGCUUAUAUAUUUAUAUAAAAAUACCAAUCGAUAAAACCAUCGCUCAUUCCACAUUUGCAAAAUAGGAUUGUUUCGUUAUCAUUCAAUAAUUUAUUUAUUAAUUAAAAGAAACCCUAUUUAAUUAAACUUACCCAUUUUAAAGAAUCAUUUAUAAUUUAAUACAUUGUUCUCUUUCAAUUAAAAAACAAUACAUUAAUUAUGCUUUUUAAUUUAAAUAUCACCAUUAACAUAUUAAUACAUUGUUCUUUUUCAAUUAAAAAACAAUACAUUAAUUAUACUUUUUAAUUUAAAUAUCAUUGUUGACAUAUGUAAAUAUAUGCUUCUUAUAUUUUUCUCACACACAUAUAUAUUAUUUAUUGAAGAAUUUAGUAUUGCGAAAACAUGUAAUGGAUGCAUUUCACUUAUAAAUUUUUUAUUAUACUUUUACAAUUAUCUAAUCACAAUAAAUAAUUACUUUUAAAUUCAUCACUUAUAAAUAAAGAUUCUAUAUAAAUUUUUUUUAAACCCCAUAUAAUUUUAAAUUAUGAUUAAGUAAUUAUAAUAUAAAUAUUGUAAGUUAUAUGCUCAUCUAUGUGAUAUGAAUAUUAUUUUAUAGUAAAAUAUUUGUUUUAAAAAAAUAUUAAUAGAAAAAUUGCUGGAAGUUGGACUGCGUGAUGAAUAUUUAAUGGGCUACGUACUGACUAGGAGAAAGGGAUAGAAGUAGUGUAUUGAGCUUGAGAGGGGCACUGAAAGAUGGACUAAUCAUACAUGGCAUUGCUGUGAAAAGGGUUACUUUGAAAAUCACGGCUCUCUAACACAUGGAAAGUCGAAUUUCGAACCAACUAUGUUGAACGUGGACAGCAUUUCCUUGCAUUAUUACUAGGUAUUUUUCACUUGGGUUAGCUUUUUUUUUUUCCAAGUCAAGUUCAUUUUUAUGGGGAGUACAUGUAUGGACAUAAUGUUCCCAAUACCCAUAAUUUAACCAACAUCCACCAUAAAAUGAGCAUUACAACAGCAUACAAUUCACAAUUCAAACAGUAUCCUGACCUUGCUUAGAACUUUCCUCAAUCCCCUUCCACCAAGCCAUAAACAUUUAUUUCAUAUGCAUAUGUAAAUACACAUGAAAUGAAUGAAAUUAUUCCAUGCAUGACACAGGUUACAAUCUAAUUCUUUAAUUAAUUAACAAGUUUUCUUAUUAAUAUGUUCUUCAUGUACAAAAUCCGUUAUGUCUAAUGCAUAGACUGUAUCAAAAAGCCAUUAGAACAUAUUAUUUAGGCGAUUUUGGCGUACUAGAUAAAAAUAAUUUAAGUUUAAAUUGUGUUAAUUCGAAAAGAACCUUUAGCCUCUAGAUUCAAUUGAAUAUUACGCAAUUGUUAAGAUUUGAGAAAGAAAAUUUUUGCUUACAUUGGUUUUGAAAUUAAUUAAGUUUACGUGAAAAAAAAUAGAAAGGGUUGUAAAUUGAAAACUUGCACAGCCAGCUUGCAGCAGUAGCAUGCAAAUUUUGGUUGUGGUGGUGACCGGUGAGCACUUAGCACUGAGCACCUUCAAUUAGAUUUUGCCACACAACCUGAAUAUGGAAAGGCUUUGAGAGGUUUGAAGUUUGAACCCCCAGUGGUAUCUAAGUGCAACAAUACUUGGUCUAUAUUUAGAAGCAAGAAAUCAAUUAAUGUUGAGAGCUGGUUGAUGACCAAGUAAGACCUAAAAGUUGACAAACAAAAUGAUCCAAAAGCUUUCAUAAAUCACGAUGUUAUCAACCUGAAUUACCAUUAUACAGGGGUUGGUCGGCCUCAUCUACACUCAACGACCAUCAAGUAAUUAGAUUAUUGAAUUUGAAGCUUGUUAGAAGAAGGCAGUGAAAAAGAGCAUGGCAUAAAGCCAUAAACAUUCGUUCUAUGAGCUAUCAAUAACUAACAGAUAUUUCCCCAGCUAAACAUAUAAUAAACAACUAAUGAAAUAUUUGACAGAUAGUUUAAGACGAGAUCAUCUAGCAUAAACAUACUAAGGGCCGGGUUCAAUUUACCUACACUCCAAUUCAAAAGCAACAUAGUUUUAAUAUUCUUCUUGAACAAGAGCAAAAUUCCAUCAAGUAUGCACGCCAAAAAACACAAAUAUAAUUAAAUCACUUUAUUCACUUGCCCACAAAUCCAUCCAAAGUCUUACCUUCCACUUCUUCUUCUGCUUCUUCUUCUUCAUCAUCAUCUUCUUCAUCUUCAUUUUCGACUUUCUCUUCUGCUGCAAAUAUUUCAACACUAAAUAUCAAGAGGAAAGCACCAAAACAUUGAUAAAACAAAGCUAAACUUAUGUUUCAAGUCUAUUAUGCAUAAUAUUAGCUGAAGUAAGCAGUGCACAAGAAGAAAAUUAUAAGAAAAGCUUGCGCCAAUUCUAUUUAUUCAAAAGACAUAACAUUAAUGACAUAUAUGGACAUAUAUUGAAGUCAAACUCACCUGUUUUAACGACUGAAAAACAAAGUACUCAGAAAUAUAGAAUGACACACAAACACACACACACACACACACACACACACACAUAUAUAUCUGCAAUAAAAAUGAACAUAGAAUAGAGCAUGCGUUUGAAAAUUGCUUAAAUUCUGUGCAUCAAACAGAACAGACACAUCAUUUACAAGUAUGAAGAUGCCUAAUUAGCCAGCGAAACAAAUUGAAACUUGAUGCAUAAUUUAUGAUUCUAUAUAUAUAUAACAACAAAUGAAAAUCAUUAUACCUCUUUUGGUACCCUUCUCCCGACAAAAGAU